UCAUCUAUAUAUGAGUAUAUUGACUUAGGAGUCAAAUGAGAACAUUUGAUCAUAGGUCAUACUCAUCGUCUAAGCUCAAGUGGGGUUACCACUUUUACAUAAUGCAUUGAUGUGUUCACACCAUUAGAGUUGCUUUGACUCAAUUCUUAGAGUAAAGCUCCCCCUAGAUGUGAGAUCCCCCCUUAGAGGGAUGAACUAACCUUGGGUUUUGUCGAUGAUGACUUCAUGUAGGUGUUGAAGAUGUGGAUGCUCAAUGUUGAUGUAGAUCAUUUGGAGCAAUCCUUUGGAGUGAGUUGCACUUUCAAUACCUACACGGGUUAGUCCCACAAGGAACAAACAAGGAUAUCCAUAGACAUAGAGUGAUGCACACACAAGAUGAUGUCUAUGAGAGCAUUAGGUUACCUUGUCCCUUGUCUUACCAACAAGAGGGUUUGUGACUCCUUGAACUAGUGCAAGAUGUGGAAGUUGAUUGCACUUGUUAUUGCCAAAAUGAUAUGAGUGAAAUAUGUUGGCGGAGUCACCCUCAAGAACUCUCUAGUUCUUCUUCUUCGGGACCCACAUCAUCUUGAUGGGAAUCCUUGGAGUUGUAAUUGUACUUGAUGAAGUAGAGCUUGACAUAGUCUUGGGAAUCCACUUGACCAAGGCCUUAGGAGCUUCUUUAAAUGCACCAAUCUCCUCUUGAAGCUUGUCCUUGCCUUUUUGCUUGUGGUCUUGUGGUGGAAGAUCAUCUUGGGCUUGUGUCCCUUUGAAGGAAGUAGGAUCAUACUUCUCUUGUUGAGGAACAAACUUCACCUUGGGGUAUUGAUCUUCUUCCCACUCAACUCCAUUGGCAUUGAACUUUCGUUCAAAACCAACACCUUGGUUCUUCCGGUGCCUUCCUUGCUUGCGUACAAUUUCCUCAAAUUGCUUACUCCCGGCAAGGCUCUUGUAAACACCUUUCUCUAUAAUUCCCUUCAAUAAGCUAUUUUCUUGCUCAAGUUUAACUUGGCUAAGAGAAUCAUUAGUGGAAUCAAGAGAACUACUAGAAGCAACAACAUUGGAUUUAGCAUGAUUAUUGUUACUACUAGAGGAAGAAUCCUUCUUGUUCUUGUUACUAGACUUGACUUGAGACAUGUAAGUAGAUAAGAGUAAACGCUUGGCAAUGUAAGAAGAAAUUUUCUUAUGAAGAUCAUCAUUGAUUGCCUUUAAGAACUCAUGCUCUUGCUCAAGGUUGAGCUUUUCAAAGCGUAACUUCUCAUGAGUCCUUAAAAGUUCUCGAUGAUCUUCUAAGAUAGUUUCAUGAGCUAACUUAAGAGUGUUUAGUUCUUUAGUUAGAAGCUCAAUAUUCUCCUUAUCAUUGCCAUUCGUUUUAUCUUGAUUAGCAUGAUUAAUUGACGUUUCAUCAUAGUAUUCAUCACUAGAGUUAUCAACAAGUAAAUCAUCAUCACCUAACAAGUCAUCUUCAUCACUAUUGAAAUCAACAUACUCGGGGUGUGUUACCUUUGGGCCUUUAGCCAUGAAGCAUCUUCCAAGUCCUUCAUUUGGUGAAUCAAAUAUGUCGUAGGAGUUGGUUGACACAAGUGCUAGACCGACAACACCUUCAUCUUGAGUAUAUUCGGAGUCGGAGUGAUAGCUUCUCUCAGAGUGAUUGUCGGAGUUAGAGCCGGAUACCCAUUCACCAACAUGAGCUUGAUGUCUUCAUUUUGUGUAGCUCCUUGAUGACUUGUCCUUCCUUUCAGAAUCCUUGCUUCUCCGAGAUGUUCUUCAUUCAUAACAAUCAUCUCUACUCCUCCUCUCUCUUGGUGGUGAUUCUUCUCUUCUACUUUUCCUCUUAGGUGAUUCUUCUCUUCUUUUGUAGGGUGCCGUACACUCAUUGGAAUAGUGUCCGGGUCUUCCACAAUUAUAGCAAUUACGCUCUCGACUAGAAGAUCUUUUGUCAUUGUAGGACCUUGACUUGGAGCUUUUCUCUUUGCUUCUACUCUUGUAGAACUUGUUGAAGUUCUUCACCAUUAAGCUCAAUUCAUCAUUGAAGGUUUGUUUCUCACUUGAUGAUGUGGGGGAUUCACAUGAGUCUUUGUAAGCACCACUUGACUUGUUGUGAAGUUCCUCCUUAUCCUUGAGUGACAUCUCAUGAGCAACAAUUCUUCCAAUGACUUCCGUUGGCUUGAGAUCUUUGUAAUUUGGCAUAAUUUGUAUCAAUGUGCACACUGUCAGGACCCCGACUCAAUGCCACAUCGAUCUAGCAUGUAACACCUUAUAUCACUUUGCAGCCUCACGCACGGUAUUCCCACGGGUGUCGCAUUACCUUUGCCCGGGACCGUUUGCGCCUUUUGGCACACGUAUAUGAUAGUGUCGCUAGCAUCCAUAUGAUAAGGAGCCCGGGCUGACAUGGCUAGUCAUAAACCCAAAGUGGCACAGACUUACAGGGACAGGCAUCCAUGACCCAGCAUCGAACGUGUUAGUCAUCAGCAAGUGAAUCCGGGCUGUAGCACUGGGCUAGCAGGACUCCGGUAAACCGGGCUGUAGCGGGCUAACAGGACUCCGGUAUUCAUCGCGUGACAUUUCCCCGAAGGGACAGACACAAGAACGAAGAAGGACACAUGCCGGCCAGCCUAAGUGUUCCGGAGCAGUAGCAAGCUACCAUGGCUCAGUGGAAGCACUAGGAGACAUUUCCCUGUAAGAGAGGCUACUAAGAACAAACAACUGGAUAGUCAGAUCCCACACAUACCAAGCAUUUCAAAAACAUACACACAAUAUGCUCGAUAUGUGCAAACACAACAUGGCAUCACAACAUGACUCUACAACUCAAGUAUUUUAUUCAAUAGGCUCCGAGGAGUGAGAUAUUAUAAACAUGGGUCUCUCGACCCAGCAUUCAGAGCAUACAAGUCAAAGUACAAGCGGAAGCUUAACAUGUCUGAGUACAGACAUCUACAAAUGAAAAAGGCUAAGAAGUCUGACUAUCUACUAGAUCCUGCCGAGGGCACAAGAUCGUAGCUGAGGUAACAAGCUAAACGUUGAAGUCCACGCGGAACUACUAGUGAGACAGAAGUCUCUCUGCAAAAAAACAUAAAAUAGGCAAACGUGAGUACAAAUGUACCCAGCAAGACUUACAUCAGAACUAACUACAUAUGCAUCAUUAUCAACAGAGGGGAUGGUGGGGUUUAACUGCAGCAAGCCAGCUUUGACUCGGUGGCUAUCCUAAACUACGACUGCAAGUAACUCUUUUGAGGUGGCGCACACGAGUCCACAUAUUCACCACAUCAAUACACCACUAUGGAUCUGCUCCCGUCUCCCUACGAGAACGCCAUCCAUAGCACUCACGCUUAUCUUGCGUAUUUUAGAGUAUCCACUUUCACUUGUCUAUGAACUGUUAUAGGCAACCCAGAAGUCCUUUACCGUGGACACGGCUAUUCGAAUAGAUGAUGUUAACCCUGCAGGGGUGUACUUCUUCAUACAUGUUUCCACCACUUAGCGUCUGCACACGACAUGUGCUCGGCAGACUUCAAGCGAAAGCCGACAUGGGUGUAGACCACGACCUACCUAAACACUCAAGUCUCUAGUCCAGGUUUAUCGCCUAUUCAGGUUCCAUCCGCAGGGAGUCCGGCCGAGGUUUCCACAUACGGCCCCAAACGAUGUGAAUAGGGUUCCGAGACACCUAACGGGUGCCCGGUGUACCCGGCCACGUACCUACCGCAUCACAGCCCACCCCACGGUCAGCGCUGUCAAUGGCAUUCAGUAGGCUACAAACACCAGAAACUACUUGCAACUCCUGGACAGAGGACAAGGGUAAUUAAGAAGUCGAGCGGGGUCAUAUUUCAGGGCCCAAUGUAUGGUAGUAGCUAAAUCAUGGAUCACAAACACAUAACUCAGUUCCUGAGGACGGCUUCAAUGAGACAACCCACCAUGUACUCCUACAUGGCCUCUCACCGAUACCUUUACCAAAUCGUGUUCACACACUUAGCUCACACCCAGUAGGACAUGUUCACACACCUCUGAUUCAUCCCGGAUGAAUCAGACCUGACACAACUCUAAGCAAUAGCAAGCAUGAAAAACAAGCAUGAAUGAGUAGGCAAAUCAGGGCUCAAACAACUCCUACUCAUGCUAGUGGGUUCCAUCUAUUUACUGUGGCAAUGACAGGUCAUGCAGAGGAUAAAGGGGUUCAGCUACCGCAGCAAGUAGCAUAUGAAUCGUUGUUGUCCUAAUGCAGUAAAAGAGAGCAGGAGCGAGAGAGUAGGAUUGUAUCGGAAUGAACAAGGGGGUUUUGCUUGCCUGGCACUUUUGAAGAUAGUAUAGCUCUUCAUUGGUGUCAUUGAUCACAUCGUCGGAACCACGUUUAUCGAGAGGGGACAAACACCGGCAAACAAGGAAGAAACACGAUCAAUGCAAUGCACAAUAUGAUGCAUGCUCAUGACAUGGUAAUAUGCUGUGAUUGGAGCUAAUGCAUCUAGCAGUAGGUUAAAUGGAGUUGGUUUGAAUCCAAGAUUCAAAUUCAAACUCCACAUGUGGUUAUUUAAAUGCCAUUCAUACCAUUUGUCCUAAACAGUAGUCAUAAGUUGUUCUAACAUGCAUGAAACCAGUACAGAUGGAUAGAUUGGAUUUUCUGAUCAUUUUUCAUAUAUAACUUAUUUCAUUUGGAGUUACGGUUGAAUUUCUAUGAUUUUUAGAAGUUUAGGACAUUUUCUGAAAAUAAUAAAUCAUUUAGAUUUAUUUAAAAUCAAGAAAAGGGUUUAUUUCGUCAGCACUUCGUCAGGGUGACGUCAGAGGUCAACGGGGACGUCCAGGUCAAACUGACUAGUGGGUCCCGUGUGUCAGCAAUUAAUUAAACUAACUAAUUUUAGUUAAACUAAUCUGGUUAGUUAGCAGGGGGCCGCUUGUCGUUGACUUAGGGGAGUCAACUUGGGCCCACCCAGUCAACGUCAACGGUCAAACCCGCCGGUCAGCGGGUCAAAGCCUGCCGGCGUUUAGCCGCCGGCGAGGCCAGACGCGGCGGCGUGCUGCGGGAUUUGCCCACAGGGCUCCAUUUGCUACGCGGAGAGCAGCUACGGGCAGCUAUUGCUCGCCCGCAUCCAGCCGUGGUGAUGGCUUGGCCGGGAAGUGGCCGGAGCAUCGUCGGCGACGAGUUUGGUGUAGGCCGAAGCUCGGGCACGCUCGUGCGCGUGGCUGCAGUGGCCUAGGCGGUGUGGCGCUAGCACCUACAGCCUCUACGCGGCGCGUGGCGUGUGACGGGCACAAGCCCAUGACCAAAUGGUCACCGGAGCAGCGCCGGCGACGUGGUCAGGCGGCAGCGCGUUUGGGCACAAGAGACGCGGCGUUUACGGUAUUCUAGGGGCGAAACAGAAUGCACGGGGAGGUUCAACAGCUCACAGAGAAGCCGCGGGGAUGGUCAGCGUGCUCGGGGAAGGCCCGGUGCGGUCGGAACGGCGACGGCGAUCUGGGGCGGCCCGAGGUUGAAGACGAUGGCGGCGGGGAUGAUGCAGGGGCUCCGGCGUCGUGCGGCUUGGCUAGUCGACGUAGUCGACGACGACGAACCGUCCGGACACGGUGAGAGGGCGCGGGGACGGCGUUGGACGCGGCUGCGGCGAGCGGCGAAGACGGUGACGUUUCGGGCGACAUUGGGGAGGGCGAGGGAGAGGAGCCAGAGGGGAGGGCGAGUGUCUGCGAGGUCAGGGAGAGAGAGAGGGUUCAUCCCACGUUGACAGCUCGACGAGGGGAGCGGCAAGGCGGCGGGCAGCUGCGUUGCACGCAUGCUGUGCUCACCGUCGAGAAGCUGCUUGCCUGCCUGGCCAAGCCAAGCAGCUCACUGGAGCGGUGGCUGGGCUGGGCCGGCAGGUGGGUCACCAGGUGGGCUGGAAGGCCAGGUAAGUGGCCCAGGUAGGCUCUCUCUCUCUCUCUCUUUUCUAAAUUGUUUUCUGUUUUCUAUUUUUCUGUAACUUCUGGGCUUUAUUAAAAAUGUCAGGGCAUUACCAAAAAUAAUGAAACUAAUCAUGACUACUGUUUGGAAUAUAUCCAACAGUAAACAUUUUCGUUUAUGAUUAUUUGACCAUUUAAAAUAUUUAAUAGCAUUUUAAUGCCCAAAUGCAAAUACUAUAAGAUUUAAUUGAGAACCCAAAUGAGUCAUGGAAAAAAUGUGCAACACCCCUGGUUAUGUCUCCAGCAUUUCCAGAAAUGAUGAACAUUUUUUAAAGCCAUUUGGACUCAUUGAAAAUAUUUUAGUUGAACCUAGUUGAAUUCAUUUGGUGCUAGGGUUUAGUCAAUCCCCAUUUCAAGUUGAAGUAAAAUUUAAACAUGAUGCAACAACCAGGACUAGCCCACAAGCAAAGCUAAAGCUAGGGCUGUGACAGCUCACCCCACUAAACAAGAAUCUCGUCCCGAGAUUCAAGACGUGAGGUAAGAAGACAAAGGGGACACUAAGUAUCACAAACUUCAUGAUCCAACUGUCUUCUCGAGGGUGUUGAUCUGUUGACUCAAUCGAUCUUGACGUCUUUGCUUGCGAGGUCUUCAUCCAACACGAUAACAACAGAAGGAGACUCUCCAGAAAACGAUCUCCUCGAAGAUCGAGUAUUCAAGAUCAACUCAUGGAGUGAGAGGUAAGAACAUCUCUCGAGCUGAGAUACGAAGCAUUCAUCCAAAGGGAUGGAGUGGAACAGAUGUCGAAGGUUCACUAGGUAGACAACAAUCCCACACUUAAGAGGGUGGUGAACGGUUGUCAACGUAGCGAAGAUUUGAGUUGCCAUGAUACCAUAUCGAGACACUUCAGGGAAGGUGACUCGUAGAAUAUCCCCUUAAGUGGCAAAAAUAAUUACCUUUGAUUCAGAGAUCAUUGAAACUCUUUAUACCAGCCUAAGGCAAAUCACAAUCGAUCAUUUGAAGGAGUCCGAAAGAAUGGCAUUCUUGGGCCAGAAUGGAUGAUGUGGACUACCUUGUUGAAGACAACGCAACGGAUGAUUUUUGGUUAUCAUCGAAAAUGGAUGGAACCCAUGGUGGAAUGGCACAAUGGUGAUGCAAGCUAGGAGCAAAAUGCAAAUGCCGGAAAUGAUUCUAGUAACUGGGGAGGAACUCAACAGUAGGAAAUAAUUCCACUGUUGGAGUGGUUAUAACACAACCGAAGAAAACUAGGAGCAAUCCCAAUUAGUGUCGAUGAUAACACCUAGUGCUUGUGAGUGCUCUCAAGAACUUGAGCAUUCCUAUAAUCAUCAAGGUUUUACCAACAUCUGUGUCAAGGGUGCUGACAAUACAACAUACUACCAUGAUGAAUAGUGAUGGACGAUGCAGAUGCAAAGGAAGAUAACACUUUCUUAGAUUUCACCUUAGCGAGGCCAAGGGGACAAAAUCUGGAUGAUCGACCGAGAGACAUUUAGCACUCCGCUUCUAAUGUUCUCCUUGAUGUGCUAGCGUAACCCAUUCAUUUAGAUGGUUUGGUACCCAGAACAUCAAGUAAAAGGUCGGACUUCGGAAACACAAAAAUUAUAAGGCACAACUAGGGAGUAAAUCCUACGAAGUCCUUAUGGGGAGGUGGCCAACUUCUUCAAUCAAGAUACUACAAUAAUAGGUCUUCGGGCGGGGUGUGUUGGCCGAAGCUCGGGCCAGCUCGUGCGCGUGGCUGCAGUGGCCUAGGCGGUGUGGCGCUAGCACCUACAGCCUCUACGCGGCGCGUGGCGUGUGACGGGCACAAGCCCAUGACGAAAUGGUCACCGGAGCAGCGCUGGCGACGUGGUCAGGCGGCAGCGCGUUCGGGCACAAGAGACGCGGCGUUUACGGUAUUCUAGGGGCGAAACAGAAUGCACGGGGAGGUUCAGCAGCUCACAGAGAAGCCGCGGGGAUGGUCAGCGUGCUCGGGGAAGGCCCGGUGCGGUCGGAACGGCGACGGUGAUCUGGGGCGGCCCGAGGUUGAAGACGAUGGUGGCGGGGAUGAUGCAGGGGCUCCGGCAUCGUGCGGCUUGGCUAGUCGACGUAGUCGACGACGACGAACAGUCCGGACACGGUGAGAGGGCGCGGGGACGGCGUUGGACGCGGCUGUGGCGAGCGGCAAAGACGGUGACGUUUCGGGCGACGUUGGGGAGGGCGAGGGAGAGGAGCCAGAGGGGAGGGCGAGUGUCUGCGAGGUCAGGGAGAGAGAGAGGGUUCGUCCCACGUUGACAGCUCGACGAGGGGAGCGGCAAGGCGGCGGGCAGCUGCGUGGCAUGCAUGCUGUGCUCACCGUCGAGAAGCUGCUUGCCUGCCUGGCCAAGCCAAGCAGCUCAUUGGAGCGGUGGCUGGGCUGGGCCGGCAGGUGGGCCACCAGGUGGGCUGGAAGGCCAGGUAAGUGGCCCAGGUAGGCUCUCUCUCUCUCUCCCUUUUCUAAAUUGUUUUCUGUUUUCUAUUUUUCUGUAACUUCUGGGCUUUAUUAAAAAUGUCAGGGCAUUACCAAAAAUAAUGAAACUAAUCAUGACUACUGUUUGGAAUAUAUCCAACAGUAAACAUUUUAGUUUAUGAUUAUUUGAGCAUUUAAAAUAUUUAAUAGCAUUUUAAUGCCCAAAUGCAAAUACUGUAACGACCAAAAUCUCGAAGGAUUUGAGUCUCUGUGCUUACCGUGCUAGUCCCUGGAUCGAAAUCGCUAGCACACACAGUAUAUACCAGAAUAGCAAGUGCAUCAUUUAUUACAUCGUAUGAUCUAGAAUAUAUAAAAUAAAACAAUCUGCAUAGCACUUGGCUAGCUUUAUUCAAUCAAACAACGGAAAGUAGCAGAAAAUAACGAUGAGUCCCAUCAUAGCCCACUGGCGAUGCUGAGUGCAGACUCGCGACCCUAACGGUACCUUACUCGUCGUCUGAAUAUCCUGCAACAUGAGAUGUUGCAGCCAUAUAGGUCAAUACUUUGAAUGUAUUGGCAAGUUACACAGGAGUAAUAAUAUAGCAGACCUACAUGUAUAUGCGUAGUACAACAAAGGAAGGCUUGAGGGUUUAUUUUUGCAUAAAGCUGAUUUUAUCCUAAUAACUACCUAAUAGUCAAAUUUUUAUUUAGUUCCUUAUUACUACAAUUAAAUACACAAGGUUGAGUUGGCAAAAUCAACUCCAACCUACCCUUUAUUAAGUUGCCCACAAAUAUUAUUAAGUGUCACAUCUGUCAAGAUCAUCCAACAACUGUAAUGGCAUAGUGGCUCAAAUUUACCCAUAACCGGGGGCACGGCUAAUCAUGAUUAGUUUUAAUACUCUGCAGAGUUUUGUACGCUUUACCCACUGGACCCAAUCCGAAGAUUGAGACGAAGUCUUUCAGAAGCAGUCCCCUAGUCCCAACAGGAGGCCCAUCCCAACUAUUAUAUCUACAUCUGCUGGCACAUCUGGGUAAGGGUUCCACAACUGAUCAACUAAGCCAGAGCCCAUAUAGCCAGUGGCCGCACAUGGAAGCUACUAGUCACUAAGUCUGUCUGAUCUUUUUGAACUUGGGCGGCCGUCCACUUACAUUCAGAGGGUAAAAACCAUGAUGUUCUUGAAACCACCCUUCAAUACCAAUUCCGCCCAGAGGUGAAUUAAGUCCUCAAUUACUACUCAAUUUGAUUAUAUUUAUAAUCCUCACAUAAUCUCAAUAUAUACACGAACCACCCCCGUCUACAAAGCAUAGCAAACUACAACUACCACGAUUUGCAAAAGACGAGAAGAUAGCUCAACAUCAUAUUGCAAAAUAAUAUAGUAUUCCUAUACAUGCAUAAAUUCAUAGUGUGAUAUAACUACAUGCAUAGAAAACAAUAGGUAAAGGAUGAUCAACAUGUAACUUGCCUUGGUUCUGGUUCAGAAAGUCACACUCCUGACAAUAGUUUGCCUCGCACUCCGGACAAUCUACACGUUUCACACAAUUCAGCAAAUCAAUCACCGAAACACGAAUAGGACCAAAAUAAAAACCAACAGCAAGAAAAACCAUUUUAAAACACAACAACAGCAGCAUAACAGCACCUAAAUUGUACUACGGUCACAAUGCAAAAAGAAUCACUCGAAUCCGAUAAACGGUUUGAGAGAUACGGCCUCCGGAAGGUUUAUUUCAAAUUCAAACGAAUUCAAAUUUGAAAAGUGCAAACAUGUGCAAACUUGGUACUCUGAUAAAGUGCUGAUUUUUGUGAGAUCAUAGGAAAAAGAAUUACCUAAUUUGGGUAUACAGAAUAAAAGCUAUAGCUAUUUGAAGUUUUGAGUGAAAAACUGGAAAAAACAAAAACAGCAACAGAAAUCGCCUGGUCCUGUGCGGCACUGUAGCUGCGCCUAUAGCAGUAUGCCACGUGGCAGUUUGUGAUUGGCCAAAGGAGUUCCCCGUGCGUUCGUGCUCACCAGAACAGAGGAAGGGCGGCGGCGGUCUCGGGCGUUGGCGGUGGCGCUCCUCCGGCGAUGCUCCGGCGAAGUUGAGGGGGUGGACGGGUGCGGUGUUGAGUGGCGGAGGCGGUGGUGGUGUUCGACGACGGCGAGGACCUCCUCUGCAGCUGCGGUGGCGGGGUGAACGUGACGUGCUCCGGCGGUGGCAGACGUCGGUGGCGGCGGUGUUCGGCUGUGUCUCAGGCGACAAAACAACGUCAAAACAGUGAAGAGAUGAGCGGAUGGUCGAGGAGAGUAAACGGGGUGGUCCGAGGCGUCCUUACGGCGGCGGGAACGACUGGCGAACGGCGGCGGCGGCGGAGCUCCACGGCGAGAUGCGUUUCGCCCUCGCUCGAGCGUGCGGCAACGAGGAAGAACGAGGAGUGGAUGCGGGGUCGCCCUGGGUCUUCUGCUUGCACACGGCGACUCGGGAGCGCUCGAGGUGGACCAGGGUCGCGGGGUAAACCGGCUUGGCCUCGGCGUGCGCGCGGCGCGGCUGCGUCCGGCUCGGGGUGGAAGAUGGGUGCGGGGCCCGCUGGUCAGUGGCUGGGGCGAGGGGUCGAUCGGGCGCGGGUCGGGUGCGAGCGUGCGGGCGUACCGCUUCGCUAGGUUUAGCGGGCUGCGGGCGGUGGGGUUUGGUGGGCCGCAGCGGUGCGGGGGACUGGGCCGCGCAGUGCGGGGUUAGGUGGGCCGCGGCGUCGGCUGGCUGGCUGGGUAGCUGGCUGUCCGGCUGUUUUUUUUUGGAACACAAAACUACAGAAACACAAAUAACUAAAAUAAAAUAACCACAAUAAAAACUAAACAAAAAUAUAGAGACACACUGUAAAAUAUUUACUACUAAUAUAAACUACAUGAACAAUAGUUCCUCACCUAAUGCAAUUUUAGAAAUUCAUUUUGAUGCAAUAGGACACUCAAACAGCAAUAAAACAAUCAAAUAAAAUAUUUUUAAGAUUGCAAAAAUUACCAGAACAUAUCACAUGAACUGUAAAUAAUAUUCUGCACAUUAUGAACAUUUUUAAAAUAGGGGAGAAGUCAUGUUAUCUCCACUCCAAAUAAAUUGCCUUUUGUUGCAUAAUGAUUUGAAUAUUCUGAAAAAGCAAAUAAUGCAAUAAAAUUAUGAUAUGCAUAUGAAUGAUCUAUUAACAUCCUAAUUUAGGAAAAUACUACUUCGCUAUCGGUCACCCAGGAGUAUUUAGCCUUGCAAGGUGGUCCUUGCUGAUUCACACGGGAUUCCACGUGCCCCAUGCUACUCGGGUUAGAGCGUAAGCUAGUGAUGCUUUCGGCUACUGGACUUUAGCCAUCUAGGGUGCGGCACUCAACCGCUUCGCCUAGCAGCACAACGCUUGUAUUGCUCUCCCACAACCCCGUUUUCACGGUUUAGGCUGCUCCCAUUUCGCUCGCCGCUACUACGGGAAUUGCUUUUGCUUUCUUUUCCUCUGGCUACUAAGAAGUUUCAGUUCGCCAGGUUGUCUCUUGCCUGCUCAUGGAUUCAGCAGGCAGUUUAAAAGGCCCACUGGCGAUGCUGAGUGCAGACUCGCGACCCUAACGGUACCUUACUCGUCGUCUGAAUAUCCUGCAACAUGAGACGUUGCAGCCAUAUAGAUCAAUAUUUUGAAUGUAUUGGCAAGUUACACAGGAGUAAUAAUAUAGCAGACCUACAUGUAUAUGCAUAGUACAACAAAGGAAGGCUUGAGGGUUUAUUUUUGCAUAAAGCUGAUUUUAUCCUACUAUAUACCUAAUAGUCAAAUUUUUAUUUAGUUCCUUAUUACUACAAUUAAAUACACAAGGUUGAGUUGGCAAAAUCAACUCCAACCUACCCUUUAUUAAGUUGCCCACAAAUAUUAUUAAGUGUCACAUCUGUCAAGAUCAUCCAACAACUGUAAUGGCAUAGUGGCUCAAAUUUACCCAUAACCGGGGGCACGGCUAAUCAUGAUUAGUUUUAAUACUCUGCAGAGUUUUGUACGCUUUACCCACUGGACCCAAUCCGAAGAUUGAGACGAAGUCUUUCAGAAGCAGUCCCCUAGUCCCAACAGGAGGCCCAUCCCAACUAUUAUAUCUACAUCCGCUGGCACAUUCGGGUAAGGGUUCCACAACUGAUCAACUAAGCCAGAGCCCAUAUAGCCAGUGGCCGCACAUGGAAGAUACUAGUCACUAAGUCUGUCUGAUCUUUUUGAACCUGGGCGGCCGUCCACUUACAUUCAGAGGGUAAAAACCAUGAUGUUCUUGAAACCACCCUUCAAUACCAAUUCCGCCCAGAGGUGAAUUAAGUCCUCAAUUACUACUCAAUUUGAUUAUAUUUAUAAUCCUCACAUAAUCUCAAUGUAUACACGAACCACCCCCGUCUACAAAGCAUAGCAAACUACAACUACCACGAUUUGCAAAAGACGGGAAGAUAGCUCAACAUCAUAUAGCAAAAUAAUAUAGUAUUCCUAUACAUGCAUAAAUUCAUAGUGUGAUAUAACUACAUGCAUAGAAAACAAUAGGUAAAGGAUGAUCAACAUGUAACUUGCCUUGGUUCUGGUUCAGAAAGUCACACUCCUGACAAUAGUUUGCCUCGCACUCCGGACAAUCUACACGUUUCACACAAUUCAGCAAAUCAAUCACCGAAACACGAAUAGGACCAAAAUAAAAACCAACAGCAAGAAAAACCAUUUUAAAAUACAACAACAGCAGCAUAACAACACCUAAAUUGUACUACGGUCACAAUGCAAAAAGAAUCACUCGAAUCCGAUAAACGGUUUGAGAGAUACGGCCUCCGGAAGGUUUAUUUCAAAUUCAAACGAAUUCAAAUUUGAAAAGUGCAAACAUGUGCAAACUUGGUACUCUAAUAAAGUGCUGAUUUUUGUGAGAUCAUAGGAUAAAGAAUUACCUAAUUUGGGUAUACAGAAUAAAAGCUAUAGCUAUUUGAAGUUUUGAGUGAAAAACUGGAAAAAACAAAAACAGCAACAGAGAUCGCCUGGUCCUGUGCGGCACUGUAGCUGCGCCUAUAGCAGUAUGCCACGUGGCAGUUUGUGAUUGGCCAAAGGAGUUCCUUGUGCGUUCGUGCUCACCAGAACAGAGGAAGGGCGGCGGCGGUCUCGGGCGUCGGCGGUGGCGCUCCUCCGGCGAUGCUCCGGCGAAGUUGAGGGGGUGGACGGGUGCGGCGUUGAGUGGCGGAGGCGGUGGUGGUGUUCGACGACGGCGAGGACCUCCUCUGCGGCUGCGGUGGCGGGGUGAACGUGGCGUGCUCCGGCGGUGGCAGACGUCGGUGGCGGCGGUGUUCAGCAGCGUCUCAGGCGACAAAACGACGUCAAAACAGUGAAGAGAUGAGCGGAUGGUCGAGGAGAGUAAACGGGGUGGUCCGAGGCGUCCUUACGGCGGCGGGAACGACUGGCGAACGGCGGCGGCGGCGGAGCUCCGCGGCGAGAUGCGUUUCGCCCUCGCUCGAGCGUGCGGCAACGAGGAAGAACGAGGAGUGGAUGCGGGGUCGCCCUGGGUCUUCUGCUUGCACACGGCAACUCGGGAGCGCUCGAGGUGGACCAGGGACGCGGGGUAAACCGGCUCGGCCUCGGCGUGCGCGCGGCGUGGCUGCGUCCGGCUUGGGGUGGAAGAUGGGUGCGGGGCCCGCUGUCAGUGGCUGGGGCGAGGGGUGGAUCGGGCGCGGGCCGGGUGCGAGCGUGCGGGCGUACCGCUUCGCUAGGUUUAGCGGGCUGCGGGCGGUGGGGUUUGGUGGGCCGCAGCGGUGCGGGGGACUGGGCCGCGCAGUGCGGGGUUAGGUGGGCCGCGGCGUCGGCUGGCUGGCUGGGUAGCUGGCUGGCCGGCUGUUUUUUUUAGAACACAAAACUACAGAAAUACAAAUAACUAAAAUAAAAUAACCACAAUAAAAACUAAACAAAAAUAUAGAGACACACUGUAAAAUAUUUACUACUAAUAUAAACUACAUGAACAAUAGUUCCUCACCUAAUGCAAUUUUAGAAAUUCAUUUUGAUGCAAUAGGACACUCAAACAACAAUAAAACAAUCAAAUAAAAUAUUUUUAAGAUUGCAAAAAUUACCAGAACAUAUCACAUGAACUGUAAAUAAUAUUCUGCACAUUAUGAACAUUUUUAAAAUAGGGGAGAAGUCAUGUUAUCUCCACUCCAAAUAAAUUGCCUUUUGUUGCAUAAUGAUUUGAAUAUUCUGAAAAAGCAAAUAAUGCAAUAAAAUUAUGAUAUGCAUAUGAAUGAUCUAUUAACAUCCUAAUUUAGAAAAAUUGGGAUGUUACAAACCUACCCCCCUUAAGAUGAAUCUCGCCCUCGAGAUUCGGGUUGGCUAGAGAAUAGAUGUGGGUGAUCCUGCUUGAGAUCUUCCUCUCGUUCCCAGGUAGCUUCCUCCUCUGUAUGAUGAUCCCACUGAACCUUGCAUAACUUGAUUGUCUUGGUGCGAGUAACUCUCUCUGCUGUCUCCAGAAUCUUAACAGGCUUCUCCUCAUAUGUCAAAUCACUCUCCAACUGAAUUGCCUCAAGUGGCACUGUGUCCCUCAAUGGAACAUCCAUCAUCUCUGCAUGACACUUCUUCAACUGAGAUACAUGAAACACAUCGUGAACUCCUGACAAGGAUUCUGGCAACUCCAACUGAUAAGCUACCUCUCCUCUACGCUCCAAGAUCGUGUAAGGCCCCACAAAACGUGGUGCUAACUUACCCUUAAUUCCAAACCUCUUAAUUCCACGAAGUGGUGAAACUCUAAGAUACGCACGGUCUCCUACCUCAUAUGUCACCUCCUUACGUUUUGCAUCUGCAUAACUCUUCUGUCUGGACUGUGCUAUCUUCAGCCUGUCACGAAUCAACUUGACCUUCUCCUCAGCAUCUCUGAUCAAGUCUGGCCCAAAGAACUAACGCUCUCCAACCUCAUCCCACAUUAACGGUGUCCUGCACUUUCUGCCAUACAAUACCUCAAAUGGUGCCAUCUUCAGACUAGCCUGGUAACUGUUAUUAUAUGAGAACUCUGCAUAAGGUAAAUUAUCAUCCCAACUGGACCCGUAGUCCAAAGCACAAGCUCUCAACAUAUCCUCCAAAAUCUGAUUUACCCUCUCUGUCUGCCCAUCUGUCUGUGGAUGGAAAGCUGUACUGAACUCCAGCCUGGUGCCCAAGGAUUCAUGCAACUGGCGCCAAAACUUAGAUGUGAACUGAGUACCUCUAUCAGACACUACCUUCCUUGGAACUCCAUGUAGACAAACAAUUUUAGACAUAUAAAUCUUUGCUAGCUGAGCACUGGUAUAAGUAGUCUUUACCGGGAUGAAGUGAGCAACUUUAGUCAAACGAUCAAUAACUACCCAAAUAGAAUCAUAACCUGACCGAGUCUUGGGUAGACCUGUAAUAAAAUCCAUACCAAUCUCAUCCCACUUCCAAUCAGGUAUAGGCAAUGGCUGUAACAAACCUGCUGGUCUCUAAUGUUCUGCUUUAACUCUCUGGCACACAUCACAUGUUGCAAUAUAUCCAGCAAUUUCCCUCUUCAGGCUAGGCCACCAAAACCUUUCCCUCAAAUCCAAAUACAUCUUAGUAUUACCUGGGUGAAUAGAAUAAGGUGAAUCAUGCGCCUCCUGAAGAAUCAACUUCCUGAUGUCUGCAUCCUGAGGUACACAAAUACGCUUCUCAAACCAUAUGGCCCCAUGUUCAUCCUCAUGGAAACCUUCUGCUUUACCUUUAACCAUGUUCUCUUUUAUCUCAGCAAUCUCCUUAUCACCCUUUUGAGCUUCUCUAAUCAUGUCAAGCAAAGUAGGCUUUACCUCAAGUGUUGCCAAAUAUCCCUUCGGAACCAUCUCCAACCCGAGAUUCCUGAAUUGUUCACAUAACUCGGGUGGCAUAUUAUCAAUAUUAAUUGCAUUAGCAUGGCUCCUACGACUCAAUGCAUCAGCAACAACAUUAGCCUUACCAGGAUGAUACUGCACAUUCAAAUCAUAAUCCUUAAUAAGCUCCAACCAUCUCCUCUGCCUGAGGUUCAAAUCCUUCUGAGUAAAAAUAUACUUCAAGCUCUUAUGAUCAGUAAAUAUAUCACAACGAUUACCAAUAAGGUAUGGCCUCCAAGUUUUCAAUGCGUGCACAACUGAGGCUAACUCCAAAUCAUGGGUAGGAUAAUUAUGCUCAUGAUUCUUAAGCUGACGUGAAGCAUAUGAAACAACUUUACCUUCCUGCAUCAAAACACUCCCAAGUCCUUGACGAGAAGCAUCACAAUAUACCUAGAAGUCGUUAUGUAUAUCUGGCAGUGUUAAGACUAGUGCUGUAACCAAACGCUGCUUCAAUUCCUGAAAGCUGGCUUCACAUUCAUCAGUCCAAACAAACUUCUUCUCCUUCUUCAACAAUUCAGUCAUAGGCUUUGCAAUCUUGGAAAAGUUUUCAAUAAACCUCCUAUAAUAACCUGCAAGGCCCAAAAAGCUGUGAAUCUCCCCAACUGUCGUGGGUGUCUCCCACUCUGUAACUGCAGCAACCUUAGAUGGAUCAACUGCAACUCCAUUACCUGACACAACAUGUCCAAGGAAAGCUACCUCAUCCAGCCAAAACUCACAUUUGCUGAACUUGGCAUACAACUGAUGUUCCCUCAAUUUCUCCAAUUCCAAACGCAGAUGCACCUCAUGCUCUUGCUUAUUCUUGGAGAACACCAAUAUAUCAUCAAUGAAAACAACCACAAAUUUAUCCAAGAACUCCAUAAACACCUUGUUCAUCAUAUUCAUGAAGUAUGCAGGAGCGUUAGUCAGUCCAAAUGACAUAACGGUAUAUUCAUACAACCCAUACCUCGUGGUGAAAGCAGUCUUUGGAAUAUCUUGCUCGCGAAUCUUCAAUUGAUGAUAACCAGAACGGAGAUCAAUCUUAGAAAACACAGUAGCUCCCUCCAACUGGUCAAAUAGAUCAUUUAUCAUAGGCAAAGGAUACUUAUUCUUAAUGGUUACCUCAUUCAGAGAACGAUAAUCAACACACAUCCUCAAGGUUCCAUCCUUCUUCUCCACAAACAAAACUGGAGCUCCCCAAGGUGAUGAACUUGGGCGAAUAAAUCCUUGUGCCUGCAAUUCUCUUAUCUGCUUCUUCAAUUCCUCCAACUCUUGAGGAGGCAUUCUAUACGGUCUCCUUGCAAUAGGUCCAGUGCCUGGUAUUAAAUCAAUAAGAAACUCAAUAUCCCUAUCUGGUGGCAUACCUGGCAACUCCUCUGGAAACACAUCUGGAUAAUCCCUCACAACUGGCACCUCUUCCAGGCUACCCCCCUUAAGAGAGUUCACCUGCACCUGAUUACGCUUAUACUUACACACAUAUUUGAUCCUCUUCCCUCCUGGUGCACUGAGAGUAAUAGAUCGACUGGCACAAUCAAUACGACCUUUAUAUAACUGCAACCAAUCCAUACCCAAAAUAAUAUCCAGACCUUGUGACUUCAAUAUAAUCAAAUCCGUAGGAAACUCAUGCUUCCCAAUAGACAAAGUCAACUGAUGACAACCAACACCUGCUAUCAUCUCAGCUCCUGGGGAGCUCACUCUAAUAGGCAUACUAAGGGUUUUUGUUGGCAAGAAUAGAUGAGUCAUAGAUACAAUAGGGCCAAAAACUAUGUAUAUAUAAAUAUAUUCUACCCAUAUGCAUAAUAUGAUCAAGCCAACAAACACAACAACGAAUAACACCAACACACAAACAACAAACAACAAACAAUAAUAUGAUAAUAUUAUAUAUAUAUAUAGUCGAAUAAUUUCGACAAGAUAUAAAUUAACAAACAAACUACCAAUCAAGCAACAAUCUAGUAUCUUCAUACCACAAAAGUGGGCAUAAUCAGAUACGCUAACACGAUAGCGUUGCAAUAUAAAACAAGCAUGAAUGGUGGUCUCAGCACUAGUUCCUACUUAACUGGCAACAUACUUGAGGGGCUUAACUAAUAAACAGUAAGAAGUAUAACUAGUUGAUAAAUAAUUUUCACUCCUAUGGCUUUUAUAAUCCAUUUUCUAGGGUCACGUCCUACAGUCAACACACUGCUCUGAUACCAUCUGUAACGACCAAAAUCUCGAAGGAUUUGAGUCUCUGUGCUUACCGUGCUAGUCCCUGGAUCGAACUCGCUAGCACACACAGUAUAUACCAGAAUAGCAAGUGCAUCAUUUAUUACAUCGUAUGAUCCAGAAUAUAUAAAACAAAACAAUCUGCAUAGCACUUGGCUAGCUUUAUUCAAUCAAACAGCGGAAAGUAGCAGAAAAUAACGAUGAGUCCCAUCAUAGCCCACUGGCGAUGCUGAGUGCAGACUCGCGACCCUAACGGUACCUUACUCGUCAUCUGAAUAUCCUGCAACAUGAGACGUUGCAGCCAUAUAGGUCAAUACUUUGAAUGUAUUGGCAAGUUACACAGGAGUAAUAAUAUAGCAGACCUACAUGUAUAUGCAUAGUACAACAAAGGAAGGCUUGAGGGUUUAUUUUUGCAUAAAGCUGAUUUUAUCCUAAUAAAUACCUAAUAGUCAAAUUUUUAUUUAGUUCCUUAUUACUACAAUUAAAUACACAAGGUUGAGUUGGCAAAAUCAACUCCAACCUACCCUUUAUUAAGUUGCCCACAAAUAUUAUUAAGUGUCACAUCUGUCAAGAUCAUCCAACAACUGUAAUGGCAUAGUGGCUCAAAUUUACCCAUAACCGGGGGCACGGCUAAUCAUGAUUAGUUUUAAUACUCUGCAGAGUUUUGUACGCUUUACCCACUGGACCCAAUCCGAAGAUUAAGAUGAAGUCUUUCAGAAGCAGUCCCCUAGUCCCAACAGGAGGCCCAUCCCAACUAUUAUAUCUACAUCUGCUGGCACAUCCGAGUAAGGGUUCCACAACUGAUCAACUAAGCCAGAGCCCAUAUAGCCAGUGGCCGCACAUGGAAGCUACUAGUCACUAAGUCUGUCUGAUCUUUUUGAACCUGGGCGGCCGUCCACUUACAUUCAGAGGGUAAAAACCAUGAUGUUCUUGAAACCACCCUUCAAUACCAAUUCCGCCCAGAGGUGAAUUAAGUCCUCAAUUACUACUCAAUUUGAUUAUAUUUAUAAUCCUCACAUAAUCUCAAUAUAUACACGAACCACCCCGUCUACAAAGCAUAGCAAACUACAACUACCACGAUUUGCAAAAGACGGGAAGAUAGCUCAACAUCAUAUAGCAAAAUAAUAUAGUAUUCCUAUACAUGCAUAAAUUCAUAGUUUGAUAUAACUACAUGCAUAGAAAACAAUAGGUAAAGGAUGAUCAACAUGUAACUUGCCUUGGUUCUGGUUCAGAAAGACACACUCCUGACAAUAGUUUGCCUCGCACUCCGGACAAUCUACACGUUUCACACAAUUCAGCAAAUCAAUCACCAAAACACGAAUAGGACCAAAAUAAAAACCAACAGCAAGAAAAACCAUUUUAAAACACAACAACAGCAGCAUAACAGCACCUAAAUUGUACUACGGUCACAAUGCAAAAAGAAUCACUCGAAUCCGAUAAACGGUUUGAGAGAUACGGCCUCCGGAAGGUUUAUUUCAAAUUCAAACGAAUUCAAAUUUGAAAAGUGCAAACAUGUGCAAACUUGGUACUCUGAUAAAGUGCUGAUUUUUGUGAGAUCAUAGGAAAAAGAAUUACCUAAUUUGGGUAUACAGAAUAAAAGCUAUAGCUAUUUGAAGUUUUGAGUGAAAAACUGGAAAAAACAAAAACAGCAACAGAAAUCGCCUGGUCCUGUGCGGCACUGUAGCUGCGCCUAUAGCAGUAUGCCAUGUGGUCGUUUGUGAUUGGCCAAAGGUGUUCCCUGUGCGUUCGUGCUCACCAGAACAGAGGAAGGGUGGCGGCGGUCUCGGGCGUCGGUGGUGGCGCUCCUCCGGCGAUGCUCCGGCGAAGUUGAGGGGGUGGACGGGUGCGGCGUUGAGUGGCGGAGGCGGUGGUGGUGUUCGACGACAGCGAGGACCUCCUCUGCGGCUGCGGUGGCGGGGUGAACGUGGCGUGCUCCGGCGGUGGCAGACGUCGGUGGCGGCAGUGUUCGGCUGCGUCUCAGGCGACAAAACAACGUCAAAACAGUGAAGAGAUGAGCGGAUGGUCAAGGGGAGUAAACGGGGUGGUCCGAGGCGUCCUUACGGCGGCGGGAACGACUGGCGAGCGGCGGCGGCGGCGGAGCUCCGCGGCGAGAUGCGUUUCGCCCUCGCUCGAGCGUGCGGCAACGAGGAAGAACGAGGAGUGGAUGCGGGGUCGCCCUGGGUCUUCUGCUUGCACACGACGACUCGGGAGCGCUCGAGGUGGACCAGGGACGCGGGGUAAACCGGCUCGGCCUCGGCGUGCGCGCGGCGCGGCUGCGUCCGGCUCGGGGUGGAAGAUGGGUGCGGGGCCUGCUGGUCAGUGGCUGGGGCGAGGGGUCGAUCGGGCGCGGGUCGGGUGCGAGUGUGCGGGCGUACCGCUUCGCUAGGUUUAGCGGGCUGCGGGCAGUGGGGUUUGGUGGGCCGCAGCGGUGCGGGGGACUGGGCCGCGCAGUGCGGGGUUAGGUGGGCCGCGGCGUCGGCUGGCUGGCUGGGUAGCUGGCUAGCCGGCUGUUUUUUUAGAACACAAAACUACAGAAACACAAAUAACUAAAAUAAAAUAACCACAAUAAAAACUAAACAAAAAUAUAGAGACACACUGUAAAAUAUUUACUACUAAUAUAAACUACAUGAACAAUAGUUCCUCACCUAAUGCAAUUUUAGAAAUUCAUUUUGAUGCAAUAGGACACUCAAACAGCAAUAAAACAAUCAAAUAAAAUAUUUUUAAGAUUGCAAAAAUUACCAGAACAUAUCACAUGAACUGUAAAUAAUAUUCUGCACAUUAUGAACAUUUUUAAAAUAGGGGAGAAGUCAUGUUAUCUCCACUCCAAAUAAAUUGCCUUUUGUUGCAUAAUGAUUUGAAUAUUCUGAAAAAGCAAAUAAUGCAAUAAAAUUAUGAUAUGCAUAUGAAUGAUCUAUUAACAUCCUAAUUUAGGAAAAUUGGGAUGUUACAAAUACUAUAAGAUUUAAUUGAGAACCCAAAUGAGUCAUGGAAAAAAUGUGCAACACUCCUGGUUAUGUCUCCAGCAUUUCCAGAAAUGAUGAACAUUUUUUAAAGCCAUUUGGACUCAUUGAAAAUAUUUUAGUUGAACCUAGUUGAAUUCAUUUGGUGCUAGGGUUUAGUCAAUCCCCAUUUCAAGUUGAAGUAAAAUUUAAACAUGAUGCAACAACCAGGACUAGCCCACAAGCAAAGCUAAAGCUAGGGCUGUGACAGCUCACCCCCACUAAACAAGAAUCUCGUCCCGAGAUUCAAGACGUGAGGUAAGAAGACAAAGGGGACACUAAGUAUCACAAACUUCAUGAUCCAACUGUCUUCUCAAGGGUGUUGAUCUGUUGACUCAAUCGAUCUUGACGUCUUUGCUUGCGAGGUCUUCAUCCAACACGAUAACAACAGAAGGAGACUCUCCAGAAAACGAUCUCCUCGAAGAUCGAGUAUUCAAGAUCAACUCAUGGAGUGAGAGGUAAGAACAUCUCUCGAGCUGAGAUACGAAGCAUUCAUCCAAAGGGAUGGAGUGGAACAGAUGUCGAAGGUUCACUAGGUAGACAACAAUCCCACACUUAAGAGGGUGGUGAACGGUUGUCAACGUAGCGAAGAUUUGAGUUGCCAUGAUACCAUAUCGAGACACUUCAGGGAAGGUGACUCGUAGAAUAUCCCCUUAAGUGGCAAAAAGAAUUACCUUUGAUUCAGAGAUCAUUGAAACUCUUUAUACCAGCCUAAGGCAAAUCACAAUCGAUCAUUUGAAGGAGUCCGAAAGAAUGGCAUUCUUGGGCCAGAAUGGAUGAUGUGGACUACCUUGUUGAAGACAAUGCAACGGAUGAUUUUUGGUUAUCAUCGAAAAUGAUGGAACCCAUGGUGGAAUGGCACAAUGGUGAUGCAAGCUGGGAGCAAAAUGCAAAUGCCAGAAAUGAUUCUAGUAACUGGGGAGGAACUCAACAGUAGGAAAUAAUUCCACUGUUGGAGUGGUUAUAACACAACCGAAGAAAACUAGGAGCAAUCCCAAUUAGUGUCGAUGAUAACACCUAGUGCUUGUGAGUGCUCUCAAGAACUUGAGCAUUCCUAUAAUCAUCAAGGUUUUACCAACAUCCGUGUCAAGGGUGCUGACAAUACAACAUACUACCAUGAUGAAUAGUGAUGGACGAUGCAGAUGCAAAGGAAGAUAACACUUUCUUAGAUUUCACCUUAGCGAGGCCAAGGGGACAAAAUCUGGAUGAUCGACCGAGAGACAUUUAGCACUCCGCUUCUAAUGUUCUCCUUGAUGUGCUAGCGUAACCCAUUCAUUUAGAUGGUUUGGUACCCAGAACAUCAAGUAAAAGGUCGGACUUCGGAAACACAAAAAUCAUAAGGCACAACUAGGGAGUAAAUCCUACGAAGUCCUUAUGGGGAGGUGGCCAACUUCUUCAAUCAAGAUACUACAAUAAUAGGUCUUCGGGCGGGGUGUGUUGGCCACGACAUCCACUUUACCGGUUAUCGCGAGACCAAUAUUAUAGUUCUUGGGAAAUGUUCCAACCAUCAUAUCUGCCUGAGAUUUAGAUCUGGUUGGUGUCAGAAUAAUCCAGACUCAUUGGUCUGGAAAGAAAAAUGAAAGUUUGCAACACAAAUCGACGAGAUGACGUUGCGAGAUUCUCGGAGAAUGAACUACGGUAGUUAGCUCCAAAACAUGAGCUAGUUCUGCUACAAACAUGUGAACACGUUGUCCAAGACAAGCGUGACCACGUGGUAGUCUUAUAAUAAAAUACUACCAAGUUCAGGUUGGGAAACCAUCAUCGAGGAUAACGAAGUCCUAACACAAGUCAUGAUUCUUAAGAAGGAACUUCUUCUCCUUGAACAAAUCAAUCAGUGGCUUGGUGUGCUAGGAAACACAUAUAGAAUGGAGGCGGCCAACCUAUCAAACCAUAGAGCACUUCGCACAUGUGUGACUAACUUGGGAUGAUUCCAAGGAAGCAAAAACAAUCUUUCUCAAACUCACGACGGCAACUUACAUCAAAUGCACAUGAGCUGGAGAAGGUCACUUCUUACAUCCGAACAUAUGCUUCAUGAUCUAACAUGAACAAAUGCUUUUAAAAGUUUCCAACACUAGCUUAAUGUUCAACAAAAUUAUGGAGAAGACAAGGAUGUUGUCGAUGGGCUCAACAACAAUUCAUCCAGAUUCCCAUGGAGAUGGAAUUCCAUAACUAUGUGAACAAGGUGAUAGUAUUGGUCAGACCCAAAGAUGUAAUGGUGUAUGCUUGAGGGAUCAACCACGAGUAAGACAACAUUACGAACAUCGUUGGUUCUGAUUUGACUUGACGAUAGCCCAUACUCAAAUCAAAGUUUUGACAAGGCAAUAGAUCCAACAACUGAUCACGAGGACCAAUCGAUGGAGAUAUCAUCUUUCUUCAACACACACACACACACAUACACACACAAGAAGAUAUCCCUUAACAUGAACUAAGUCAGACAAGCUAUUAUCUUCCAACUCUCCAAGUUGUUGUCUAGCUCAACCAACUAGCUCAGGGAUAUCCAACACAGAUUCUUGGAGAAGGAGUGAUUUAUAAGAAAACCAACUUGAUCAUGAACUCAACAUAGCGGCCAGGUGACAACCCGGUAAUACUUCUGAGAAGAUAUUCAGAACAUCAUGAACCACCAAUAUGUUACUAAGCUCGAGAACAAUCUUGCUUUCCAGAUCAAGACGAUAUGAUCAAAUAAGCAAGGGAUUAAAUAAUCCUAACUCAUUGAUCGAAGAGUGCACCAGAAAUAAGGACUAGGUAGCACAAUCUAUCUUAGAAUUGAUAGAGGCGGAGGUGUCCCGAUCUUUCAAUGAGAUGAUAACUAUCGAUUUGGUGAAGAUGACUUUGACGAUCCGACUACAAAUGUGCACGACGUUGCGCCUUAGCAAUCGCUAAACCAACUCCGAGAGGUUAUUGACCACGCCGGAACACAAUCAACCUGACCACGAAGGUCUAUUCCUGCAAGCAAUCGAAGAACAAGCAAGAAUAUGAUAAAAGCAAUCUGAAUAUUGCGAGUAUAUAUGAAGUAUUGAUAAAGGUGGGGAUCCGUAAGCGGUCUUGGUCUGGUCGUUGGACACAAAUGAAGUACACGAAGUUGCAAUUGCUAACUUUUAACUAAACAAAUCCCAAGGAAAAAGCUAGUAGAUGGAUCUACUUAUAUAGGAGCAAGGGGUGGCGGCCAAGGAGGUGGGAGGACAUCCCAAGGCAGCCUAAAACUAACCCUAGGUCGUACAAGGCCAAUGGGCCCAAGUGGGGGUGACGUAACACCUUUGGACUUGUAGUUUGACUCGGAUUCUGGUGCAGCGUCAGAUUGUUUCGUCCAUAACUAACCGCUCUGGACGGAUUUUAAGGUGAUUCCAAUUGUGCUGAAAAGAGCAUGAAAUCUACUUUCCAACAAAAAAAGAAUCACCCAAUUCGGAGUCCGUAUGAAAAAUUUGUUGAUGUUUUGAGUCAGGUAUGUCUGUGCAGUCCGAAUCUGAGUCGAGAACGUGAGAGACUUGGACUCUAUCUUCUCUUGGGUCAAAAGUGACGUGAGAGAACUUUUUGAACAGCAAAUAAACAUCUCUUUCUUCCUUAUCUUCAUAUGUGGAUUGUACAAAUGUCCCAUACACCUGCAAUUAGACAAAACGCAAAAGUGUGUGAAGUAUUUUUGUUCUGGAUAAUAUAAAUAGAUUAUUGAAUAGUUUGCACUAGAAAUCCCCUGACAAAUAUGCAUGUAUGCAAUAUUUUUGGUCAUAUCCAAGGUAGUCAUGUCCUCAUCAAGAAUGAUGAUUCAAUAACCAACACGUUAAGAAUGAGUUUAUUGUCCAUUUACUGCCAAGCAACGAGUUGCUCGGAGUAUUGAUUUCACACAUCACAAUUCACUUGUCGACAUUCCGGUUACAACAACACAAGGACCGAGGAAUGAAUGAUGAUGGCGAGGAGUAUCACUACAUCAAGAAUUCAUAAGGGAUGGUGCAAUUCUCAUGAUAAUCCUGACAUAAAGGGGGUAAUACUCCAGGGUAGAACAGAGCAAAAGCUGGAUUGGCAUUUGAUCUGCAGAACACGACUACUUGGACCACUCCAAGAAAUGGAUGAGGUGCUGGAGUUUGUUUCUCCUAGUCAUUCCGGAAUAGAAUGGCUUGAUGAACCACAAGAAUAAUAGGCAUCUAUAACAUGAAUGCACAACUAGUCCUGACUACCACUUGCUAGACGGAGGUCAGGAUACAACUAAAGAGGGACAACUCAAAGGAACAUAUAAUUUUCUGAGUUGUGGAUGCAUAGAUUAGUAUGUCGAGCGAAGCUCAACAUUUCUUCCGGAUAACCCAUGCGGAAAGGUAGAACUGGCAGAGACGCAAUAUAGAAUGGAGUACUCCUCAAGAGCACCCUGGUUGUGAUCUUUUGGCUCAAAAGAACUUCUGCCAUAAGCAGUUCAUGGUAGUUGGAAGAACGAAAUACCACAGACCUCGAGGACUAUCGCAAAGUUACUAAUAUCCUAAAGGAACUAGCAAACACUAUCAACAUGAGGUAAGUAGGGUGAAUCUCGGGUUCAAGAACCCAGGAAUAGAAUACCUACUACUAAGUGGCAUCACGGGAUGCUUUCGAGAAUAAAGGCCAGAAUCAUCACACUGGGACACAAAACAUGGCUAGAUUACUAGGUGAUACUCUAGACACCUAGGGUCAUGAUAAUAACUCCGACAUAUAUGUUAAGGCAACAGAGUACCUCAACUCACCGAUUAGUGUGGUUAAUCUGGCCCAAAGGGACAUAGAAACGGGAGGAAGGGAUUUUGCAAAUGCUUCAGACUAUUUAGAAACCUAGGAUGACUCGGAUAGCAUAACGGCUGUAAAUGCUCAGAAAAGAUUUGAGACAUUCACAAGGAUUUACAUAGUCACUUAACAACAUCAUAUCAAGGUUCUGGUUCAACUGAGAACAUUCUAAAAGUAGUAGAAACUAAAUUGAGGCUUGAAACUAUCAAUCCUAUAAGUCUCUAACAUAGUAACUCGUCAUCCUAGUAGAUAGAUGAGAAGCCUAGUUCCUAAACCCCGUAGAAGAGAACAGGAUGACUCAGAUCAGAAGGCCAUGAGGUAUAAGGAGUAAAAAGAGCCUUACGUUCCCUUCCCCAAUCAAUUCCCCUACAUAUAACUAAAGCAUUUCUAGACUCAACUUCGACCAGUUUGGCUUGGUAAUCCUACAGGCAGUCAGGCUCUGAUACCAAAGCUGUCAGGACCCCGACUCAAUGCCACAUCGAUCUAGCACGUAACAACUCAUAUCACUUUGCGGCCUCACGCACGGUAUUCCCACGGGUGUCGCCUUACCUUUGCCCGGGACAGUUUGCGCCUUUUGGCACACGUAUAUGAUAGUGUCGCUAGCAUCCAUAUGAUAAGGAGCCCGGGCUGACAUGGCUAGUCGUAAACCCAAAGUGGCACAGACUUACAGGGACAGGCAUCCAUGACCCAGGAUCGAACGUGUCGGUCAUCAGCGAGUGAAUCCGGGCUGUAGCACUGGGCUAGCAGGACUCCGGUAAACCGGGCUGUAGCGGGCUAACAGGACUCCGGUAUUCAUCGCGUGACAUUUCCCUGAAUGGACAGACACAGGAACGAAGAAGGACACAUGCCGGCCAGCCUAAGUGUUCCGGAGCAGUAGCAAGCUAGCAUGGCUCAGUGGAAGCACUAGGGGACAUUUCCCUGUAAGAGAGGCUACUAAGGACAAACAACUAGAUAGUCAGAUCCCACACAUACCAAGCAUUUCAAAAACAUACACACAAUAUGCUCGAUAUGUGCAAACACAACAUGGCAUCACAACAUGACUCUACAACUCAAGUAUUUUAUUCAAUAGGCUCCGAGGAGCGAGAUAUUACAAACAUGGGUCUCUCGACCCAGCAUUCAGAGCAUACAAGUCAAAGCACAAGUGGAAGCUUAACAUGUCUGAGUACAGACAUCUACAAAUGAAAAAGGCUAAGAAGCCUGACUAUCUAGUAGAUCCUGCCGAGGGCACAAGAUCGUAGCUGAGGUAACAAACUAAACGUCGAAGUCCACGCGGAACUACUAGUGAGACGGAAGUCUCUCUGCAAAAAAACAUAAAAUAGGCAAACGUGAGUACAAAUGUACCCAGCAAGACUUACAUCAGAACUAACUACAUAUGCAUCAUUAUCAACAGAGGGGAUGGUGGGGUUUAACUGCAGCAAGCCAGCUUCGACUCGGUGGCUAUCCUAAACUACGACUGCAAGUAACUCUUUUGAGGUGGCGCACACGAGUCCACAUAUUCACCACAUCAAUACACCACUAUGGAUCCGCUCCUGUCUCCCUACGAGAACGCCAUCCAUAGCACUCACGCUUAUCUUGCGUAUUUUAGAGUAUCCACUUUCACUUGUCUAUGAACUAUUAUAGGCAACCCAGAAGUCCUUUACCGCGGACACGACUAUUCGAAUAGAUGAUGUUAACCCUGCAGGGGUGUACUUCUUCAUACAUGUUUCCACCACUUAGCGUCUGCACACGACAUGUGCUCGGCAGACUUCAAGCAAAAGCCGACGUGGGUGUAGACCACGACCUACCUAAACACUCAAGUCUCUAGUCUAGGUUUAUCGCCUAUUCAGGUUCCAUCCGCAGGGAGUCCGGCCAAGGUUUCCACAUAUGUCCCCGAAUGAUGUGAACAGGGUUCCGAGACACCUAACGGGUGCCCGGUGUACCCGGCCACGUACCUACCGCAUCACAGCCCACCCCACGGUCAGCGCUGUCCACGGCCUCCAGUAGGCUACAAACACCAAACUACUUGCAACUCCGGGACAGAGGACAAGGGUGAUUAAGAAGUCGAGCGGGGUCAUAUUUCAGGGCCCAAUGUAUGGUAGUAUCUGAAUCAUGGAUCAUAAACACAGAACUCAAUCCCUGAGGACAGCUUCAAUGAGACAACCCACCAUGUACUCCUACAUGGCCUCUCACCAAUACCUUUACCAAAUCAUGUUCACACACUUAGCUCACACCCAGUAGGACAUGUUCACACACCUCUGAUUCAUCCCAGAUGAAUCAGACCUGACACAACUCUAAGCAAUAGCAGGCAUGAAAAACAAGCAUGAAUGAGUAGGCACAUCAGGGCUCAAACAACUCCUACUCAUGCUAGUGGGUUUCAUCUAUUUACUGUGGCAAUGACAGGUCAUGCAGAGGAUAAAGGGGUUCAUCUACCGCAGCAAGUAACAGAUGAAUCGUUGUUGUCCUAAUGCAGUAAAAGAGAGCAGGAGCGAGAGAGUAGGAUUGUAUUGGAAUGAACAAGGGGGUUUUGCUUGCCUGGCACUUCUGAAGAUAGUAUAGCUCUUCAUUGGUGUCAUUGAUCACAUCGUCGGAACCACGUCUAUCGAGAGGGGACAAACCCCGGCAAAAAAGGAAGAAACACAAUCAAUGCAAUGCACAAUAUGAUGCAUGAUCAUGACAUGGUAAUAUGCUGUGAUUGGAGCUAAUGCAUCUAGGAGUAGGUUAAAUGGAGUUGGUUUGAAUACAAGAUUCAAAUUCAAACUCCACAUGUGGUUAUUUAAAUGCCAUUCAUACCAUUUGUCCUAAACAGUAGUCAUAAGUUGUUCUAACAUGCAUGAAACCAGUACAGAUGGAUAGAUUGGAUUUUUCUGAUCAUUUUUCAUAUAUAAAUUAUUUCAUUUGGAGUUACGGUUGAAUUUCUAUGAUUUUUAGAAGUUUAGGACAUUUUCUGAAAAUAAUAAAUCAUUUAGAUUUAUUUAAAAUCCAGAAAAGGGUUUAUUGCGUCAGCACUGCGUCAGGGUGACGUCAGAGGUCAAUGGGGACGUCCAGGUCAAACUGACCAGUGGGUCCCGCGUGUCAGCAAUUAAUUAAACUAACUAAUUUUAGUUAAACUAAUCUGGUUAGUUAGCAGGGGGGGGGGGUGCUUGUCAUUGACUCAGGGGAGUCAACUUGGGCCCACCCAGUCAACGUCAAUGGUCAAACCCGCCGGUCAGUGCGUCAAAGCCUGCCGGCGUUUAGCCGCCGGCGAGGCCAGACGCGGCGGCGUGCUGCAGGAUUUGCCCACAAGGCUCCAUUUGCUACGCGAAGAGCAGCUACGGGCAGCUGGUGCUCUCCCGCAUCCAGCCGUGGUGAUGGCUUGGCCGGGAAGUGGUCGGAGCAUCGUCGGCGACGAGUUUGGCGAAGUCCGAAGCUCGGGCCAGGUCGUGCGCGUGGCUGAAGUGGCCUAGGCGGUGUGGCGCUAGCACCUACAACCUCUACGCGGCGCGAGGAGUGUGACGGAGCAGCGCCGGCGACGUGGCAGGCGGCGGCGCGUUCGGGCACAAGAGACGCGGCGUCUACGGUAUUCUAGGGGUGAAGCAGAAAGCACGAGGAGGUUCAGCAGCUCACAGAGAAGCCGCGGGGAUGGUCAGCGUGCUCGGGGAAGGCUCGGUGCAGUCGGAAUGGGGACGUCGAUCUAGGGUGGCCCAAGGUUGAAAACGACGGCGGCGGGGAUGAUGCAGGGGCUCCGGCGUCGUGUGGCUUGGCUAGUUGAUGGAGUCGAUGACGACGAACCGUCCGGACACGGUGAGAGGGCGCGGGGACGAUGUUGGACGCGGCUGCGGCGAGCGGCGGCGACGGUGACGUUUCGGGCGAUGUUGGGGAGGGCGAGGGAGAGGAGCCAGAGGGGAGGGCGAGUGUCUGCGAGGUCGGGGAGAGAGAGAGGGUUCGUCCCACGUCGACAGCUCGACGAGGGGAGCGGCGAGGCGGCGGGCAGCUGCGUGGCACACAUACUGUGCUCACCGUCGAGCAGCUGCUUGCCUGCCUGUCCAAGCCAAGCAGCUCACUGGAGCGGUGGCUGGGCUGGGCCGGCAGGUGGGCCACCAGGUGUGCUGGAAGGCCAGGUAAGUGGCCCAGGUAGGCUCUCUCUCUCUCUCUUCUAAAUUGUUUUCUGUUUUCUAUUUUUCUGUAACUUCUGGGCUUUAUUAAAAAUGUCAGGGCAUUACCAAAAAUCAUGAAACUAAUCAUGACUACUGUUUGGAAUAUAUCCAACAGUAAACAUUUUAGUUUAUGAUUAUUUGAGCAUUUAAAAUAUUUAAUAGCAUUUUAAUGCCCAAAUGCAAAUACUAUAAGAUUUAAUUGAGAACCCAAAUGAGUCAUGGAAAAAAUGUGCAACACCCCUGGUUAUAUCUCCAGCAUUUCCAGAAAUGAUGAACAUUUUUGAAAGCCAUUUGGACUCAUUGAAAAUAUUUUAGUUGAACCUAGUUGAAUUCAUUUGGUGCUAGGGUUUAGUCAAUCCCCAUUUCAAGUUUAAGUAAAAUUUAAACAUGAUGCAACAACCAGGACUAGCCCACAAGCAAAGCUAAAGCUAGGGCUGUGACACACACGGUAUCAUAUUUUCCGUCCAAAGCUCUUAGGAUCUUCUUGAUGAUGAAUUUGUCGGUCAUCUCUUCACUUCCUAAGCCGGCAAUCUCAUUUGUGAUAAGAGCAAGCCUAGAGUACAUUUCGGCGACACCUUCACCAUCCUUCAUUUUGAACUUGUCAAGUUGACUUUGAAGCACAUCCAACUUGGAUUCCUUGACGGAGUCGGUACCUUCAUGCAUAUCAAUCAAAGUAUCCCAAAUUUCCUUUGCAUUCUCAAGACGGCUGAUUUUGUUGAAUUCUUUGGGGCACAAUCCAUUGAAGAGGACAUCACAAGCUUGAGCGUUGUAUUGCAGCAUCUUCAACUCUUCCGCGCUAGCUUCACGGUUCGGUUCUCUCCCAUCAAAGAAUUCACCUUGCAAGCCAAUACACACAAUAGCCCAAACGGCGGGGUUAUGUCCAAGAAUAUGCAUUUUCAACUUAUGCUUCCAACUAGCAAAAUUAGUACCAUCAAAGUAAGGACCUCUACGGUGAUAAUUUCCCUUGCUAGAUGCCAUACUCUCCUAGGUUGUGAAACCAAGGCUAUGACCACAAAAUCUAUGGACAUCAAAGCAAAUGGAGACCAAAGCUCUGAUACCACUUGUAGGAUCGAAAGUAUGUCUAGAGGGGGGGGGGGUGAUUAGACUACUUGACCAAAUAAAAGCUUAUCAUUUUCCUAAUUUUAGUCUUUGGCAGAUUUUAGCUAUCUUAGCACAAGUCAAGCAAUCUCAACACAAUUCAAGCAAGCAUGCAAAGAGUAUAUGAGCAGCGGAAAGUAAAGCAUGCAACUUGCAGGAAUGUAAAGGGAAGGGUUUAAAGGAUUCAAACACAAUUGGAGACACAGAUGUUUUUGUCGUGGUUCCGAUAGGUGGUGCUAUCGUACAUCCACGUUGAUGGAGACUUCAGCCCACGAAGGGUAACGGUUGCGCGAGUCCACGGAGGGCUCCACCCAAGAAGGGUCCACGAAGAAGCAACCUUGUCUAUCCCACCGUGGCCGUCGCCCACGAAGGACUUGCCUCACUAGUGGUAGAUCUUCACGAAGUAGGCGAUCUCCUUGCUCUUACAAACUCCUUGGUUCAACUCCACAAUCUUGUCGGAGGCUCCCAAGUGACACCUAGCCAAUCUAGGAGACACCUGUAAUGCCCCGAGACCGACGCUUCAGAAGACUUCCAGCUACUCCGAGUUUCGUCAUGUGAUUUGUUUUGUUUGUUGCUUUCAUCUUUGCAUCAUUUGCAUUGCAUCAUGUCAUCAUGCCAUCAUUUCAUUAAUUUUAAACCUCAACUAAAUAAAUGGCAUGGAUCUUUGGUCCAUUUAAAUCGAGGGAAUUCACUCGUGAUUUCUCUUUAUAACAUAUUAAAGCCUCUCAAUAGGGAGCUAUAAUAAAAUUAUUCCAUUUAUUUGGAAUUAACCAAAACACACUUGCAAAAUAAUUUCGUUCCUUUUCUGCUUCAAGUUUGGUCUCCAACUUGCCCGUAAAUUAUCUCGUCAUUUUCCGGAGCUCCACCAAAAAUCCGAACAUUUUUGGACCUUCCUUUUAUCAAGUCCUAGUUCAAACCCAUUUGAAUUAAAUUCAAAUGAGUUUGAAUUCUUAUCUUUCAAUCAUGGCCUUUCUAUUUUUCUUGGAACGAGCAUAUUUUUGUGAGUCCAGGGAAAUUAACCCCUUGCACAUAUUCUUUCCCUAACCCUUUCUUUCUUUCCUUCUCUCUAUUUCUUUUCUGUUAAGAAAAAUAUGAGAGGAAGGGAGAGAGAGAGCCUGCACCCAACAGCCUGGGCCUUCCAACCUCCCGCGCCGGCCCAUCCAUCCCUAAGCCCGCAUGGGCCAAGGCUCUCCCACCGGCCUCUUUAGGCCCAGCCGGCCCCAGCACCUAACCCUAGCCCGACUCCCAUCGGUCUCCAUCUCUCCCUCGUCCUCCUCCAGCGCCGCUACCCCGUGCCCGAUCCCCACGCGCAGCCUCGACCCCCCUCGCUCGAUCUCAUCUCCCUCUCGUCCCUCUGCCCGCCGCCGCACUAACACGCCGCAUCAAGCUCCCAGUGCCCGAUCCCCAUCGCCUCCUCUUGUCCCUUGCCGCGCAGCGCCUGACCCCCUCGCCGAGGCCAUGGCCGCCGCCGCACCUUCUUCCCUUCCUCGCCAUCGCCGCCCUGGCGAGCGCCGCCCCAACGCCCUCCAUGCGACGCCUCCCUUUCUCCUGCUCCUCUGCGACAGCCUGCUGUCGCCAAGUCCCGGCCUCCAACGCCAGGAUCGGCCCCGAGCUGCUGCGCCGCUCCGACGACCCCAUCUUCGCGCCGGGCCCCGAUCUUCUCGAGCGCGACCCCGCCGCCUCGCGCCUCCACCUCCUCGCCGGUCACCCGCAGCUCGCCGCGCCCUGCUUCUCCUUCCCUGCCUCCACCGCGAGCCCACCAUGGCGCUCGCAGCCAUCCUCUUCACCCCGCGUCCCCACCGGCUCCCGUCGCUGGAGUUCAUGCCCAAGGCCGCUGCAACCUCACCUUCGGCCAAGCCUUGCUUUCCUGUGCUGUUGUUCGCUGCACGCCAAGACCACCCCCGUGGAUUUUGCCAAGUACCACUAUGACCCGUGUGCGACUAUGCGGAUUCACCAAGUACCCCUCCAGCAAGACCGACGCCUGAACAAGCACACCGGCUCUGUGGAUUUCGGCAAGUCCCUCCGACGACCGGUGCUUAGUACCACUACGUUUGCCAUGUACAUCUACACCAAGACCGGUCCGACAAGUACCACGAAGUCCGUGAACCACUACCGUCGCCCCGAAGAUGUUGGAUUCGUCAAGUACCUCUCCGAAAACGAACGUGUACCACUACUUCCACGACGCCCGUGAACGUCUACCUCCACGACGACCCGUGAACGUCUACGAGAUGUACCACUACCGUCGACCCGUGAACGUCUACUUCCCUCUACGAACUCGAUCCGCCCGAAAUGCACGCUUCGAAGGUAUAACACCGAGACGAUGUCCGUGGACCGAAUGCAUGUUGUAUGAGAUGCCCGUUUUUGCAUCGUGUCCGUUUGUCACUCGUUUCCAUGCCACUAUCCCGUGGGAACCCGGAAUCCGGGAGCACCCCACCAUCUUGCAUGACUUGUUCACGCCUCCUUUUGCACCGGUAUCUCCGUGAGCUACCGGAACCGAUAUGUUGCCGUGGCAUCAUUUUCGGAUAUGUUGCCGUGGCAUCAUUUUCGGAUAUGUUGCCGUGGCACCAUUUUUGUUUCGCCGCCGUGGCACCCUUUUCGUUCCGCCAUGGUGACCAAAUGCUCCUUAUCAUGCUCAUGUCAACAUUUUCAUAAAAAUUGCAUAGAACUUGCAUAUGUCAUCCGCAUCAUGAUAACAACAAUUAAAAUGUUUAAAAUUUGUUGUUGCAUUAAAUUGCUAAAUAACAUAUGGGGAUUUCCGGAAUUUUUGUUUCUUGUUUCCGGCCUCACUUAAACUUGCCUAAAUUGUUAGUUUAAUUAUGCUUCACCCUCUUGCCAUGUUAACCAACAUUUAAUCUUGUCUUGUUCAUAACCGAGAGAAAAACUAAAUAAUUGAUGUGGUGUUUCGUCAAUAGGCAACUCGUUGCAUAUUGAGCUCCACUUAACUUGUAGUGUUGUUUGUUGCAUAUUGCCAUGCCAUGCCUCUUUAAACCGGACAUGCAUCAUACUUGCUUGCGCAUCAUGCCAUGUUUAUGUGAUGGUUGUUUACUAUGUUGUUUGUUUCUUUCCGGGUUGCCUCUCUCGUUAGCUUUGGUUUCGUUCCGGAGUUGUGAGGAUCCGUUCGACUUCGUCUGUUUGUCUUCUUCAUGGACUCGUUCUUCUUCCUUGCGGGGUUUCAGGCAAGAUGAUCAUACCCUCGAAAUCACUACUAUCUUUGCUAUGCUAGUUUGCUCGCUCUUUUGCUAUGCCAAUGCUACGAUGCCUACCAUUUGCUUGUCAGCCUCCCAAAUUGCCAUGUCAAACCUCUAACCUUUGACACCAUUCCUAGCAAACCGUUGUUUGGCUAUGUUACCGCUUUGCUCAGCCCCUCUUAUAGCAUUGUUAGUUGCAGGUGAAGAUGAAGUUUGUUCCUUGUUGGAACAUGGAGAUGUUGUUCCUUGUUGGAACAUGUUUACUUGUUGGGAUAUCACAAUAUCUCUUAUUUAAUUAAUGCAUAUAUAUACUUGGUAAAGGGUGGAAGGCUCGGCCUUAUGCUUGGUGUUUUGUUCCACUCUUGCCGCCCUAGUUUCCGUCAUACCGGUGUUAUGUUCCCGGAUUUUGCGUUCCUUACGCGGUCGGGUGAUUUAUGGGACCCCCUUGACAGUUCGCUUUGAAUAAAACUCCUCCAGCAAGGCCCAACCUUGGUUUUACCAUUUGCCUACCUAAGCCUUUUUCCCUUGGGUUCUGCAGACUCAAGGGUCAUCUUUAUUUUACCCCCUGGGCCAGUGCUCCUUCGAGUGUUGGUCCAACCUAAGCGAUGUCCGGCGCCCCCUGGGCAACCAGGGUCUAUGCCAACCCGUCGUCUUGCUCAUCCGGUGUGCCCUGAGAACGAGAUAUGUGCAGCUCCUAUCGGGAUUUGUCGGCACAUCGGGCGGCUUUGCUGGUCUUGUUUUACCAUUGUCGAAAUGUCUUGAUGUACCGGGAUACCGAGUCUGAUCGGAGUGUCUUGGGUGAAGGUCUAUUCCUUCGUUGAUCGCGAGAGCUUGUCAUGGGCUAAGUUGGGACACCCCUGCAGGGUAUAAACUUUCGAGAGCCGUGCCCGCGGUUAUGUGGCAGAUGGGAAUUUGUUAAUGUCCGGUUGUAGAAAACCCGAAGUUGACCUUAAUUAAAAUACAUCAACCGUGUGUGUAACCGUGAUGGUCUCUUUCCGGCGGUGUCCGGGAAGUGAACACGGUGUUGGAGUUAUGCUUGACGCAGGUUGCUAUAGGAUCACUUCUUGAUCAUACUUUUAUCGACCGUGCUUUGCCUUCUCUUCUCGCUCUCAUUUGCGUAUGUUAGCCACCUUAUAUGCUAGUCGCUUGCCGCAGCUCCACCUCAUUACUACAUCCUUCCUAUAAGCAUAAAUAGUCUUGAUCUCGCGGGUGCGAGAUUGCUGAGUCCUCGUGACUCACCAGAUACUUCCAAAACCAGUUUGCAGGUGCCUAUGUUACCGAGCAGGUGACGCAACCAAGCUCAAGGAGGAGCUCGAUGAAGAUCUUGCCCCUUUGUGUUGUUUCGUUCUAGUUGAUCAGUAGUGGAGCCCAGUUGGGGUCGAUCGGGGACCUUUGUUGCAUUUGGGGUUCUUCUUUUAUUUUGGUUCCGUAGUCGGACCUUGAUUGUAUCUGGAUGAUGUAAUGCUUUAUUCAUGUAUUUGUGUGAAGUGGCGAUUGUAAGCCAACUAUGUAUCUCUUUCCCUUAUGUAUUACAUGGGUUGUGUGAAGAUUACCUCACUUGCGACAUUGCUUUCAAUGCGGUUAUGCCUCUAAGUCGUGCUUCGACACGUGGGAGAUAUAGCCGCAUCGAGGGCGUUACAAGUUGGUAAUCAGAGCCUUCCCCGACCUUAGGAGCCCCACUGCUUGAUCGUUUUUAGCGGCCGAGUUGUGUCUAGAAAAAUGUUUUGAGUCAUUUAGGAUUAUAUAUAUCGGAGAGUUUAGGAGUUCUUUUUACUCCCCAGUCCCUUCGACCUUCUGGUAAGGCAUCCUGACGUAGAGUUUUGACUCUUCUCUUCUCAAAUUUCACUAAAUUUUUUUUAGGAUCAUGCGGGUAUCUUGGAAUUGUUCCGAUGGUUUUAUGAUGACAACAUUGUCUUGGUGCCUCCAGUCAGCAGGGGUUUUUUUUGGAGGUGUCCCGGGGAGUUGAGCUCUGAGGUGUUGUCGUCAUAAUUUUAUCGUUGCAGUUCUGGAAUACCUGAGUUUAGUACGCCGACAUCGAAAAUCUCUUUUAUGCAGUUGUUGGUGAGAUAACCCCGCUAACCCAGUACUGAGGUGAGUACGGGAGUAUUGCCAUGACUCGUAUAACGGAUGCUUUUCGAAGGUUGAGGUACACGAUUUCCGAAGGUUUCUUGGUUAUGUGUUGACGGAUGGAUACAGCUGGAUGUAGGGAUUGUUAGUUUGGGUGAGAUAUAUUGCUUCCCCUGUAUCCCCAACACCAGAUUGCAUAACCAGAAAGUUUCGGGAGUUUAUAGGUGGGAAUUCAAGUAGUUCCUAGAAUAUAUUUCCGACAAAUGCAUGAUAUGGGAUUGGGUAAAUCUCUAUCAUAUGUAUUUGUUCCGGCUUAUUCUGCAAGCCAAUCCUUUGUUUUGUUUUAUUUGUGGUAUUCGAGUUGCUUCAAAGUCAAAUGUUGAAUCCAUACCUUUCCUAAACGGUGUUCUCAUAUUGCUAUGUGAAUACUAAUCCUUUUUAAUCAUUGAGGUUGUCAUGUUAAUCCUUUUCCAACCGGUGCGCUUCUCUUCGAGAUGAUCCCAUCAUUCUCCCCAUCCGCAAGACCAAUUAUCAUUUCUUCUCAACGGUAUUUGUUUCAUCCGUCUCCAAGUUGCCUUUGUUUUUUUCCGCCCACCCACCCUUUUUCCUCAAGGACUAAGAUUUCUUUAUCAAGUAUCCUUUUAUUUUUGUGAAGUUUCUCCAUUCUUUUCCGUCAAUGUUCUUACCCGGUGGUUCUCAAGAAGAUGUUCUACUACUUCGUCAUUCCUCAUUCAUUUCUCUUCUCCGGUGGAUUCAAGUCAAGUUUUGUUGAUCAUACCUUUUUCCUCAUUUCAAUGUCUUCUCAUACCGGUGCACCUAAUUAUCAUUCUUCUUGCUAUUUGUUAUUCCGGAGUGCUCAAGAUAUCUCGAAGAUUCGUGUUUCCACUCUGCAUUCGUUCAAGCUCUUUCGAGAUUGUUAUCUCAUUCAAGCCAUUUAAUUCAACCGGUGCAACAUCUCUUUUAAAUCUUUUCAACGGUGUUCUUUUGAGUGGGCCCUAACCCACAGGUCUUUUCCCAGGAUCUUACCUGACUCUUCUAUUUUCCCAGAGCUAUCCUAAAUUCUUCUCCAAGUUUGACGUAAGAAUGAGUUAUCAUCAGUCAAAUGCUUUUCUCCAAGAUCUUUCAAAUUCUUUUCAUAGUUGGCUCAACCUCUUCGCUUUUGAUUCUUCCGGUGUGCCUCAAUAAUUCUUGGUGGUGUUUCUCGUUGUCAUUCUCAUCAUUUGAAGGCUGAAGAAGAGUUUCUCUUUAAUCUUGCUCUAUUCUCUUCAAGAUUCAUGGUGAUAGCUUGUCGCCAUCCUCUAAUAAUUCUUUUCGAUUGUGAGAUUUUUUUUUCACCCAUCCGGAGCGUUUUAGGAGUCUUUUCAGUUUCAUUCUUUGAAGCCCAUCAUCUCAAUUUUAUUCAUUCAAGCUUUCAGCUCUCGUUCUCCAAAUCAUACCGGUGCAUCAUUCAAGUAUUCUCUAAUCAGCUCGUGAUCUAUUCGUUCAUUUGCUAAUUCUUACCGGUGAUGCACCCCUACUUCGAUUAUUUUCAAUUCUUACGGUGGUUCUUUCAAGAUCUCUCUUCCUUGUUCAUCAUAUCAAUUCAUUUGUUGUUCCAAUCCUACCGGUGGUUCGUUCAAGAGUUCUCUUCCUUCGUUAUCAUAUAGAUUCAUUCGUUCUUUCCAAAUCCUACCGGUGGUUGUUGAAGACCUUUUUAAAGUUUACGCCAUAUCUCUCUUAAUCCUUUCUACGAGAAUAAGUAGUAUGCCAAAUCCGUUGCUUGUCAUCAAUUUAAAUUGGUGAAGGAUACGCAUAACAUAAUUCUUGUUCUUGUUUCAUCAAAGUGAGUAAUUCCUUUUUUCGGAGUUUGUUCAUGAUGAAUGAAUUCUCGGUUUCAGUUGUUUCAUCUUCUCUUUUUCCCGGAGUUCCAAGCUCUAAUCAUCAUGAAGAUCCAUCUAAAUCUUUGCAAGGAUUCACCUUGUGUUUUCAACUUCUCUUCUUCUCAUCAUCCUUUUAUUACCAGAGUUCUUCAUGGAGGCUCUACAUGAUGGUUCGUCAAGGUUUCUUUUCAUUCUUCAAUUGUUCUUCAAGAUUUCUCUUGAAGUUGUGACCCGUCAAGCUAUACUCUAAAAUAAACAUGGUGCUCAACACAUGUUUUGUUUUGAGGCGUUCAAGUAUUCUUCAUCUUGCAUUCCGAAGUGCGAUUCUUUCUACCUUAUCUUCUGAGGUGGUGUUAGGUCAUUCUUGAUAAUUUUCCCUUCGCGUUUCAUGAUUCACAAGUUUUCAAGAGUGACAUAUUUAAAUCCAUCUUUUUCUCUUUGUUCAAGAGAUCUUUUCAACUGUCAAUCUCUUCAUUGGAGUUAUCUGGGUAUAGAUUUCACCUAAAGCCUUCCCUAAGGAAUGUUGCUAUUUUGGUGCUUAUUAAUGACCCAAGUUAUCUCUUUUCCAUCUUGAUGGAACAAGAUUUCAUCUCUUCGUUAAUCUCAAGCAAGAAAUUGUUUCCGUUUGUGGUUGGUUGUCACCUCAUCAUUUAGAGAUGUUUGCCAUAAGCCCACAACAAGCUUGUGCUUUUCGUUGUUGAUUUUCCAACAACUCCGUUCAAUUCUUAUUUGCAAGGAUGCUUUCCAAGCUCAUUUGUGGUAGAAGUUGUCAUUUCCCCCUCCAUUCUGCUAUUCCAGGGAUCUAUCUUCUAUUCUUUCUUCUGGAGGCAUUGUGAUGUUGCUCUUUUCACUCAUCAUCUCGAAUUGUGAGGAUCAUGUUCUUUUCUUGCUUAUCCAUUCAACCGGAGUGUUGUGUUCUCAUUCAAGUUUUUUUCAUCUUAUCAAGUUUUCCUUCUUCUUUCAGUCGGAGUGCUGCUCAAAUUAUAUCAAUCUUAUCCCUUCUCUAUCUUGUUUUAACCGGAGUGGUUUCGAAUUCUAUCUUGUCCAUUAAACUCUUGGUUCGUCUCUUUGCAAUCUUCAAGUUCUCGUAAUGUUCCUUGUUCCUCUUUUCUAACGGAUUGUUUGCAAUCUCGUUCUUCUCAGUUGUGCUCUUUCUUUUAAAUUUCUCAACCUCUCAAGGUUCGUGGUUUCACUCGUUCGUCAAAGAAGCAACUUAGUUUUACCUCUUCUCUUUCUCUUCCGUUUUUCCUAUGUUGCCAUUCUAGAUCUCGGGACGAGAUCCUCUCAUAGUGGUGGAGUGUUGUAACGCCCCGAGACCGACGCUUCAGAAGACUUCCAGCUACUCCGAGUUUCGUCAUGUGAUUUGUUUUGUUUGUUGCUUUCAUCUUUGCAUCAUUUGCAUUGCAUCAUGUCAUCAUGCCAUCAUUUCAUUAAUUUUAAACCUCAACUAAAUAAAUGGCAUGGAUCUUUGGUCCAUUUAAAUAGAGGGAAUUCACUCAUGAUUUCUCUUUAUAACAUAUUAAAGCCUCUCAAUAGGGAGCUAUAAUAAAAUUAUUCCAUUUAUUUGGAAUUAACCAAAACACACUUGCAAAAUAAUUUCGUUCCUUUUCUGCUUCAAGUUUGGUCUCCAACUUGCCCGUAAAUUAUUUCGUCAUUUUCCGGAGCUCCACCAAAAAUCCGAACAUUUUUGGACCUUCCUUUUAUCAAGUCCUAGUUCAAACCCAUUUGAAUUAAAUUCAAAUGAGUUUGAAUUCUUAUCUUUCAAUCAUGGCCUUUCUAUUUUUCUUGGAACGAGCAUAUUUUUGUGAGUCCAGGGAAAUUAACCCCUUGCACAUAUUCUUUCCCUAACCCUUUCUUUCUUUCCUUCUCUCUAUUUCUUUUCUGUUAAGAAAAAUAUGAGAGGAAGGGAGAGAGAGAGCCUGCACCCAACAGCCUGGGCCUUCCAACCUCCCGCGCCGGCCCAUCCAUCCCUAAGCCCGCAUGGGCCAAGGCUCUCCCACCGGCCUCUUUAGGCCCAGCCGGCCCCAGCACCUAACCCUAGCCCGACUCCCAUCGGUCUCCAUCUCUCCCUCGUCCUCCUCCAGCGCCGCUACCCCGUGCCCGAUCCCCACGCGCAGGCUCGACCCCCCUCGCUCGAUCUCAUCUCCCUCUCGUCCCUCUGCCCGCCGCCGCACUCACACGCCGCAUCGAGCUCCCAGUGCCCGAUCCCCAUCGCCUCCUCUUGUCCCUUGCCGCGCAGCGCCUGACCCCCUCGCCGAGGCCAUGGCCGCCGCCGCACCUUCUUCCCUUCCUCGCCAUCGCCGCCCUGGCGAGCGCCGCCCCAACGCCCUCCAUGCGACGCCUCCCUUUCUCCUGCUCCUCUGCGACACCCUGCUGUCACCAAGUCCCGGCCUCCAACGCCAGGAUCGGCCCCGAGCUACUGCGCCGCUCCGACGACCCCAUCUUCGCGCCGGGCCCCGAUCUGCUCGAGCGCCACCCCGCCGCCUCGCGCCUCCACCUCCUCGCUGGUCACCCGCAGCUCGCCGCGCCCUGCUUCUCCUUCCCUGCCUCCACCGCGAGCCCACCAUGGCGCCCGCAGCCAUCCUCUUCACCCCGCGUCCCCACCGGCUCCCGUCGCUGGAGUUCAUGCCCAAGGCCGCUGCAACCUCACCUUCGGCCAUGCCUUGCUUUCCUGUGCUGUUAUUCCCUGCACGCCAAGACCACCCCCGUGGAUUUUACCAAGUACCACCGUGACCCAUGUGCGACUAUGCGGAUUCACCAAGUACCCCUCCAGCAAGACCGACGCCUGAACAAGCACACCGGCUCUGUGGAUUUCGGCAAGUCCCUCCGACGACCGGCGCUUAGUACCACUAUGUUUGCCAUGUACAUCUACACCAAGACCGGUCCGACAAGUACCACGACGUCCGUGAACCACUACCGUUGUCCCGAAGAUGUUGGAUUCGUCAAGUACCUCUCCGAAAACGAACGUGUACCACUACUUCCACGACGCUCGUGAACGUCUAUCUCCACGACGACCCGUGAACGUCUACGAGAUGUACCACUACCGUCGACCCGUGAACGUCUACUUCCCUCUACAAACUCGAUCCGCCCGAAAUGCACGCUUCGAAGGUAUAACACCGAGAUGAUGUCCGUGGACCGAAUGCAUGUUGUAUGAGAUGCCCGUUUUUGCAUCGUGUCCGUUUGUCACUCGUUUCCAUGCCACUAUCCCGUGGGAACCCGGAAGCUGGGAGCACCCCACUAUCUUGCAUGACUUGUUCACGCCUCCUUUUGCGCCGGUAUCUCCGUGAGCUACCGGAACCGAUAUGUUGCCGUGGCAUCAUUUUCGGAUAUGUUGCCGUGGCAUCAUUUUCGGAUAUGUUGCCGUGGCACCAUUUUUGUUUCGCCGCCGUGGCACCCUUUUCGUUCCGCCAUGGUGACCAAAUGCUCCUUAUCAUGCUCAUGUCAACAUUUUCAUAAAAAUUGCAUAGAACUUGCAUAUGUCAUCCGCAUCAUGAUAACAACAAUUAAAAUGUUUAAAAUUUGUUGUUGCAUUAAAUUGCUAAAUAACAUAUGGGGAUUUCCGGAAUUGUUGUUUCUUGUUUCCGGCCUCACUUAAACUUGCCUAAAUUGUUAGUUUAAUUAUGCUUCACCCUCUUGCCAUGUUAACCAACAUUUAAUCUUGUCUUGUUCAUAACCGAGAGAAAAACUAAAUAAUUGAUGUGGUGUUUCGUCAAUAGGCAACUCGUUGCAUAUUGAGCUCCACUUAACUUGUAGUGUUGUUUGUUGCAUAUUGCCAUGCCAUGCCUCUUUAAACCGGACAUACAUCAGACUUGUUUGCGCAUCAUGCCAUGUUUAUGUGAUGGUUGUUUACUAUGUUGUUUGUUUCUUUCCGGGUUGCCUCUCUCGUUAGCUUUGGUUUCGUUCCGGAGUUGUGAGGAUCCGUUCGACUUCGUUUGUUUGUCUUCUUCAUGGACUCGUUCUUCUUCCUUGCGGGAUUUCAGGCAAGAUGAUCAUACCCUCGAAAUCACUACUAUCUUUGCUAUGCUAGUUUGCUCGCUCUUUUGCUAUGCCAAUGCUAUGAUGCCUACCAUUUGCUUGUCAGCCUCCCAAAUUGCCAUGUCAAACCUCUAACCUUUGACACCAUUCCUAGCAAACCGUUGUUUGGCUAUGUUACCGCUUUGCUCAGCCCCUCUUAUAGCGUUGUUAGUUGCAGGUGAAGAUGAAGUUUGUUCCUUGUUGGAACAUGGAGAUGUUGUUCCUUGUUGGAACAUGUUUACUUGUUGGGAUAUCACAAUAUCUCUUAUUUAAUUAAUGCAUCUAUAUACUUGGUAAAGGGUGGAAGGCUCGGCCUUAUGCCUGGUGUUUUGUUCCACUCUUGCCGCCCUAGUUUCCGUCAUACCGGUGUUAUGUUCCCGGAUUUUGCGUUCCUUACGCGGUCGGGUGAUUUAUGGGACCCCCUUGACAGUUCGCUUUGAAUAAAACUCCUCCAGCAAGGCCCAACCUUGGUUUUACCAUUUGCCUACCUAAGCCUUUUUCCCUUGGGUUCUGCAGACUCAAGGGUCAUCUUUAUUUUACCCCCCGGGCCAGUGCUCCUUCGAGUGUUGGUCCAACCUGAGCGAUGUCCGGCGCCCCCUGGGCAACCAGGGUCUAUGCCAACCCGUCGUCUUGCUCAUCCGGUGUGCCCUGAGAACGAGAUAUGUGCAGCUCCUAUCGAGAUUUGUCGGCACAUCGGGCGGCUUUGCUGGUCUUGUUUUACCAUUGUCGAAAUGUCUUGAUGUACCGGGAUACCGAGUCUGAUCGGAGUGUCUUGGGUGAAGGUCUAUUCCUUCGUUGAUCGCGAGAGCUUGUCAUGGGCUAAGUUGGGACACCCCUGCAGGGUAUAAACUUUUGAGAGCCGUGCCCGCGGUUAUGUGGCAGAUGGGAAUUUGUUAAUGUCCGGUUGUAGAAAACCUGAAGUUGACCUUAAUUAAAAUACAUCAACCGUGUGUGUAACCGUGAUGGUCUCUUUCCGGCGGAGUCCGGGAAGUGAACACGGUGUUGGAGUUAUGCUUGACGCAGGUUGCUAUAGGAUCACUUCUUGAUCAUACUUUUAUCGACCGUGCUUUGCCUUCUCUUCUCGCUCUCAUUUGCGUAUGUUAGCCACCUUAUAUGCUAGUCGCUUGCUGCAGCUCCACCUCAUUACUACAUCCUUCCUAUAAGCUUAAAUAGUCUUGAUCUCGCGGGUGCGAGAUUGCUGAGUCCUCGUGACUCACCAGAUACUUCCAAAACCAGUUUGCAGGUGCCUAUGUUACCGAGCAGGUGACGCAACCAAGCUCAAGGAGGAGCUCGAUGAAGAUCUUGCCCCUUUGUGUUGUUUCGUUCUAGUUGAUCAGUAGUGGAGCCCAGUUGGGGUCGAUCGGGGACCUUUGUCGCAUUUGGGUUCUUCUUUUAUUUUGGUUCCGUAGUCGGACCUUGAUUGUAUCUGGAUGAUGUAAUGCUUUAUUCAUGUAUUUGUGUGAAGUGGCGAUUGUAAGCCAACUAUGUAUCUCUUUCCCUUAUGUAUUACAUGGGUUGUGUGAAGAUUACCUCACUUGCGACAUUGCUUUCAAUGCGGUUAUGCCUCUAAGUCGUGCUUCGACACGUGGGAGAUAUAGCCGCAUCGAGGGAGAUAUAGAGGUAGAUCUUCACGAAGUAGGCGAUCUCCUUGCUCUUACAAACUCCUUGGUUCAACUCCACAAUCUUGUCAGAGGCUCCCAAGUGACACCUAGCCAAUCUAGGAGACACCACUCUCCAAGAAGUAACAAAUGGUGUGUUGAUGAUGAACUCCUUGCUCUUGUGCUUCAAAUGAUAGUCUCCCCAACACUCAACUCUCUCUCAUAGGAUUUGGAUUUGGUGGAAAGAAGAUUUGAGUGGAAAGAAACUUGGGGAAGGCUAGAGAUCAAGAUUCAUAUGGUAGGAAUGGAAUAUCUUGGCCUCAACACAAGUGUAGAUGGUUCUCUCUCAGAGAAUGCAAGUUGGAAGUGUAGGUUCGUUCUGAUGGCUCUCUCCACGAAUGAAGAGGAGGUGGAGGGGUAUAUAUAGCCUCCACCCAACAUCUAACCGUUACACACAACUUGCCAAACUCGGUGGGACCGAAUUGAUAAACUCGGUCAGAGUGAUUCAGCAAAUCUAGUGACCGUUAGGACUUUCGGUGGGACCGACAUGCAACUCGGUAGGACCGAUAUGAUUAGGGUUAGGGCAUAACGUAAUCUCGGUGAGACCGAUUACACAAACUUGGUGGGACCGAUUUUGGUAAUAAGCGAACCAGAGAGUUGGUCCGGUAAACUCGACGGGACUGGUUCACUCAUUUUGGUGGGACCGAAAUGUUACGAAAAGGAAACAGGGAGUUUACAUUGCAAUCUCGGUGGGACCGAUCGCUCAUCUCGGUGGUACCGCAACGUUACGAAGGGAAACAAAGAGAUUACAGUCCCAUCUCGGUGCGACCGAGAUCCCUAUCGGUGAGACCAAUUUGCCUAGGGUUUGUGGCAGUGGCUAUGACAUGUGAACUCGGUGGCGCCGGAUAGAAAGAAUCGGUGGGGCUGAGUUUGACUUUUGGCUUAGGUCAUAUGUGGAUGUGGGAAAGUAGUUGAGGGUUUUGGAGCAUAUCGCUAAGCACUAUGAAGCAAGAACCUCAUUAAGAAACACCUCAUCCCUCCUUGAUAGUAUUGGAUUUUCCUAUAGACUCAAUGUGAUCUUGGAUCACUAAAAUAUAAAAUGUAGAGUCUUGAGCUUUGAGCUUGAGCCAAUCCUUUUGUCCUUAGCAUUUUGAGGGGUCCACUUUUCUCAUCCAUGCCAUGCCAUUCAUUGAGCUUUUCCUGAAAUAAUUAUCUUGGAAUAAUGUUAGCUCAGUGAGCUAUAUGUUGUUAGGAAUUACCAAAACCACCUAGGGAUAGUUGCACUUUCACCUUCCAAUAUAUCGAUCUUUAUGUCUCAAACAUUUCGAGACUCCUCGUCAUGUCCAUGAUCUCAUCCGGGACUCGGAACUACCUUCGAUACAUCAAAUCACAUAACUCAUAAUACAAAUCAUCAUCGAACGUUAAGCGUGCGGACACUACGGGUUCGAGAACUAUGUAGACAUGACCGAGACAUGUCUCCGGCCAAUAACCAAUAGCGGAACCUAGAUGCUCAUAUUUGCUCCCACAUAUUCUAUGAAGAUCUUUAUCGGUCAAACCGUAUAACAACACACGUUGUUCCCUUUGUCAUCGGUAUGUUACUUGCCCGAGAUUCGAUCGUCGGUAUCACCAUACUUAGUUCAAUCUCAUUACCGACAAGUCUCUUUACUCAUUCCGUAAUGCAUCAUCCCGUAACUAACUCAUUAUUCACUUUUCUUGCAAGGCUUAUAGUGAUGUGCAUUACCGAGAGGGCCCAGAGAUACCUCUCCGAUAAUCGGAGUGACAAAUCCUAAUCUUGAUCUAUGCCAACUCAACAAGUACCAUCGGAGACACCUGUAGAGCACCUUUAUAAUCACCCAGUUACGUUGUGACGUUUGGUAGCACACAAAGUAUUCCUCCAGAAUUAGGGAGAUGCAUAAUCUCAUAGUCAUAGGAACAUGUAUAAGUCAUGAAGAAAGCAAUAGCAAGAAACUAAACGAUCAAGUGCUAAGCUAACGGAAUGGGUCAAGUUAAUCACACCAUUCUCUAAUGAUGUGAUCCCGUUAAUCAAAUCGCAACUCAUGUCUAUGGUUCAGAAACACAACCAUCUUUGAUUCAACGAGCUAGUCAAGUAGAGGCAUACUAGUGACAUUAUGUUUGUCUAUGUAUUCACACGUGUACUAAGUUUCCGGUUACUACAAUUCUAGCAUGAAUGAUAAACAUUUAUCAUGAUAUAAGGAAAUAUAGAUAACAACUUUAUUAUUGCCUCUAGGGCAUAUUUCCUUCAGUCUCAAACUUGCACUAGAGUCAAUAAUCUAGUUCACAUCGCCAUGUGAUUUAACACCAAUAGUUCACAUCACCAUGUGAUUAACACCCAUAGUUCACAUCGUCAUGUGACCAACAUCCAAAGGGUUUACUAGAUUCAGUAAUCUAAUUCACAUCGCUAUGUGAUUUAACACCCAAAGGGUACUAAGGUGUGAUCAUGUUUCGCUCAUGAGAGAAGUUUAGUCAACGGGUCUGUCACAUUCAGAGCCGUAUGUAUUUUGCAAAUAUUCUAUGUCUACAAUGCUCUGCAUGGAGUUACUCUAGCUAAUUGCUCCCACUUUAAAUAUGUAUCCAGAUUGAGACUUAGAGUCAUCUGGAUCAGUGUAAAAUCUUGCAUCGAUGUAACUCUUUACGAUGAGCUCUUUAUCACCUCCAUAAUCGAGAAACAUUUCCUUAGUCCGCACUAAGGACAAUUUUGACUGAUGUCCAGUGAUCUACUCUUAGAUCACUGUUGUAUCCCCUUUCCAAACUCAUGACAAGGAACACAAUAGGUCUGGUACACAUCACAACAUACUUUAUAGAACCUAUGACUGAGGCACAGGGAAUGAUUUUUCAUUCUCUUUCUAUUUUCUGCCAUGGUCGGGUUUUGAGUCUUACUCAAUUUCACACCUUGCAACACAGGAAAGAACUCCUUCUUUGACUGUUCCAUUUUGAACUACUUCAAAAUCUUAUCAAGGUAUGUACUCAUUGAAAAAUCUUCUCAAGCAUCUUGAUCUAUCUCUAUAGAUCUUGAUGCUUAAUGUGUAAGCAGCUUUACCGAGGUCUUUCUUUGAAAAACUCCCUUUCAAACACUCCUUUAUGCUUUCCAGAAAAUUAUACAUUAUUUCUGAUCAACGAUAUGUCAUUCACAUAUACUUAUCAGAAAGGCUGUAGUGCUCCCACUCACUUUCCUGUAAAUACAGGCUUCACCGCAAGUCUGUAUAAAACUAUAUGCUUUGAUUAACUCAUCAAAGCGUAUAUUCCAACUCCGAGAUGCUUGCACCAGUCCAUGGAUGGAUCACUUGAGCUUGCACACUUUGUUAGCUCCUUUAGGAUUGACAAAAACCUUCUGGUUGCAUCAUAUAAAACUCUUCUUUAAUAAAUCCAUUAAGGAAUCCAGUUUUGACAUGAUUUGGACAGACUUAAGCAUCGAUACGAGUGAGAAAAACUCACCUUGUCGAAAACCUUUUGUGACAAUUCAAGCUUUGUAGAUAGUAACACUACUAUUAGUGUCCGUCUUCCUCUUGAAGAUCCAUUUAUAUUCUAUGGCUUGCCGAUCAUCGGGCAAGUCAACCAAAGUCCACACUUUGUUCUCAUACAUUGAUCCCAUCUGAGAUUUCAUGGCCUCAAGCCAUUUUGCGGAAUCUGGGCUCAUCAUUGCUUCCUCAUAGUUCGUAGGUUCAUCAAGGUCUAGUAACAUGACUUCCAGAAUAGGAUCACCAUACCACUCUGGUGCGGAUUGUACUCUAGAAGACCUACGAGGUUCGGUAAUAACUUGAUCUGAAGGUUCAUGAUCAUCAUCAUUAGCUUCCUCACUAAUUGGUGUAGGAAUCACUGGAACUGAUUCUUGUGAUGAACUAUUUUCCAAUUCGGGAGAAGGUACAAUUACCGCAUCAAGUUCUACUUUCCUCCCACUCACUUCUUUCGAGAGAAACUCCUUAUCUAGAAAGGAUCCAUUAUUAGCAAUGAAUAUCUUGCCUUCGGAUCUGUGAUAGAAGGUGUACCCAACAGUUUCCUUUGGGUAUGCUAUGAAGAUGCAUUUCUCCGAUUUGGGUUCGAGCUUAUCAGGUUGAAGCUUUUUCACAUAAGCAUCACAACCCCAAACUUUAAGAAACGACAACUUUGGUUUCUUGCAAAACCACAAUUCAUAAGGCGUCAUCUCAACAGUUUUUGAUGGUGCCCUAUUUACAGUGAAUGCAGCUGUCUCUAAUGCAUAACCCCAAAAAGAUAGUGGUGACCUAGUAAGAGACAUCAUAGAUCGCACCAUAUCCAAUAAAGUGUGGUUACGACGUUCGGACACACCAUAACGCUGUGGUGUUCUAGGUGGCGUGAGCUGUGAAACUAUUCCACAUUGUUCUAAAUGAAGCCCAAACUCAUAACUCAAAUAUUCUCCUCCACGGUCAGAUCGUAGAAACUUUAUUUUCUUGUUAUGAUGAUUCUCCACUUCACUCUGAAAUUCUUUGAACUUUUCAAAUGUUUCAGACUUGUGUUUCAUUAAGUAGAUAUACCCAUAUCUGCUCAAAUCAUCUAUGAAGGUCAGGAAAUAACGAUACCUGCCACGAGCAUCAACACUCAUCGGAACACAUACAUCAGUAUGUAUUAUUUCCAAUAAGUUAUUAGCUUGUUCCAUUGUUCCAGAGAACGGAGUUUUAGUCAUCUUGCCCAUAAGGCACGGUUCGCAAGCAUCAAAUGAUUCAUAAUCAAGUGAUUCCAAAAGUCCAUCUUUAUGGAGUUUCUUCGUGCGCUUUACACCGAUAUGACCCAAACGGCAGUGCCACAAAAAUGUUGCACUAUCAUUAUUAACUUUGCAUAUUUUGGCAUCAAUAUUAUGAAUAUGUGUAUCACUACGAUCAAGAUUCAAUAAACCAUCAACAUAGGGUGUAUGACCAUAGAAGGUUUUAUUCAUGUAAACAGAAUAACAAUUUAUUCUCUAUCUCAGAUGAAUAAUCGUAUCGCAAUAAACAUGAUCUAAUCAUAUUUUAUGCUCAAUGCAAACACCAAAUAACAUUUAUUUAGGUUCAACACUAAUCUCGAAAGUAUAGGGAGAGUGCGAUGAUGAUCAUAUCAAUCUUGGAACCACUUCCAACAUACAUCGUCACUUCACCCUCAACUAGUCUUUGUUUAUUCUGUAACUCCUGUUUCGAGUUACUAAUCUUAGCAACCGAACAAGUAUCAAAUACCUAGGGGCUACUAUAAACACUAGUAAGGUACACAUCAAUAACCUGUAUAUCAAAUAUACCCUUGUUCACUUUGCCAUCCUCAUCCACUAAUUAUUCAGGGCAUUUCCGCUUCCAGUGACCAUUUCCUUUGAAGUAGAAGCACUUAGUUUCAGGCUUUGGUCCAGCUCUGGGAUUCUUCAUGGGAGUGACAACUUGCUUGCCAUUCUACUUGAAGUUCCCUUUCUUUCCCUUUGCCCUUUUCUUGAAACUAGUGGUCUUGUCAAUCAUCAACACUUUGAUGCUCUUUCUUGAUUUCUACCUUCAUCGAUUCAGCAUCACGAAGAGCUUGGGAUUCGUUUGCGUCAUCCCUUGCAUACUAUAGUUCAUCACGAAGUUCCAGUAACUUGGUGAUGGUGACUAGAGAACUCUGUCAAUCACUAUAUUAUCUAGAAGAUUAACUCCCACUUGAUUCAAGCGAUUGUACUACCUAGAAAAUCUGAGCACAUGCUCACUUCUUGAGCUAUUCUCCUCCAUCUUUUAGCUAUAGAACUUGUUGGAGACUUCAUAUCUCUCAACUCGGGUAUUUGCUUGAAAUAUUAACUUCAACUCCUGGAACAUCUCAUAUAGUCCAUGACGUUCAAAACGUCUUUGAAGUCCUGAUCCUAAGCCAUUAAGCAUGGUGCACUAAAUUAUCAAGUAGUCAUCAUAUUGAGCUAGCCAAACAUUCAUAACAUUUGCAUCUGCUCCUGCAAUAGGUCUGUCACCUAGUGGUGCAUCAAGGACAUAAUUUUUGUGUGCAGCAAUGAGGAUAAACCUCUGAUCACGGACCCAGUCCGCAUCAUUGCUACUAUCAUUUUCAACUUAGUUUUCUCUAGGAACACAUAUAAAAACAUAGGGAAUGAUACGUCCAUUUUGCAUCAUGCUUUUAUGUCACUAUUUAUUGCAUUAUGGGCUGUUAUUUCACGUUAUGUCACAAUACUUAUGGCUAUUCUCUCUUAUUUUACAAGGUUUACAUGAAGAGGGAGAAUGCCGACAGCUGGAAUUCUGGGCUGGAAAAGGAGCAAAUAUUGAAGGACUAUUCUGCGCAACUCCAAAAGUCCUGAAACUCCACGGAAUGUAUUAAAAUAAAUAAAGAAAAAUCUUUGCCAAAGAUGAAGGCCAUGGGGCCCACACCCUGCUCACAAGGGUGGGGGGCGCCCCCCCCCCCCCGGGCGCGCCCCCUACCUUGUGGGCCCCCUGGUGGCUCUACGACGUCCAUCUUCUCCUAUAUGAAGUCUUUCGAUGAGAAAAAAAAUAGAAGGCAACCUUUCGGGACGAGACUCCGCCGCCACGAGGCGGAACAUUGGCGGAACCAAUCUAGGGCUCCGGCAGAGCUGUUCUGCCGGGGACACUUCCCUCCAGGAGGGGGAAAUCAUCACCAUCGUCAUCACCAAUGCUCCUCUCAUCGGGAGAGGGCAAUCUCCAUAAACAUCUUCACCAGCACCAUCUCAUCUCCAAACCCUAGUUCAUCUCUUGUAUCCAAUUCUUGUCUCCAAGUUCGGGAUUGGUGCUAGUAGGUUGCUAGUAGUGUUGAUUACUCCUUGCAGUUGAUGCUAGUUGGUUUAUUUGGUGGAAGAUCAUAUGUUCAGAUCCUUUAUGCACAUUAUUACCCCGCUGAUUAUGAACAUGAAUAUGCUUUGUGAGUAGUUACGUUUGUUCCUGAGGACAAGGGAGAAGUCUUGCUAUUAGUAGUCAUGUGAAUUUGGUAUUCGUUCGAUAUUUUUAUAAGAUGUAUGUUGUCUAACCUCUAGUGGUGUUAUGUGAACGUCGACUACAUAACACUUCACCAUUAUUUGGGCCUAGAGGAAGGCAUUGGGAAGUAAUAAGUAGAUGAUGGGUUGCUAGAGUGACAGAAGCUUAAACCCUAGUUUAUGCGUUGCUUCGUAAGGGGCUGAUUUGGAUCCAUAUGUUUCAUGCUAUAGUUAGGUUUACCCUAAUACUUUUGUUGUAGUUGCGGAUACUUGCAAUAGAGGUUAAUCAUAAUUGGGAUGCUUGUCCAAGUAAGGGCAGUACCAAAGCACCGGUCCACACACAUAUCAAAUUAUCAAAGUACCAAACGCGAAUCAUAUGAGCGUGAUGAAAACUAGCUUGACGAUAUUCCCAUGUGUCCUCGGGAGCACUUUUCCUAUUAUAAGAGUUUGUCCAGGCUUGUCCUUUGCUACAAAAAGGAUUGGGCCACCUUGCUGCACUUUAUUUACUUUUGCUACUUGUUGCUCGUUACAAUUUAUCCUAUCACAAAACUAUCUGUUACCACUUAUUUCAGUACUUGCAGAGAAUACCUUGCUGAAAACCGCUUAUCAUUUCCUUCUGCUCCUCGUUGGGUUCGACACUUUUACUUAUCGAAAGGACUACAAUAGAUCCCCUAGACUUGUGGGUCAUCAAGACUCUUUUUUGGCACCGUUGCCAGGGAGUGAAGCGCCUUUGGUAGGUGGAAUUUGGUAAGAAAAAAUUUAUUUAGUGUGCUAAAAUUUUCUGUCACUUGUUACUAUGGAAAGUAAUUGUUUGUGGGGCUUGUUCGGGGUAUCUUCACCCCGUCCCGUUGAGCCAAGAGUUGCUCCUCAACCUACUAAACCUACUGAAAAUGAAACUCCUUUUCAAAUUCCUUCGGGUAUGAUGGAAAAACUGCUAUUUAACACUUUUGCAGGAGAUGGAACAAAGCAUCCUGACGAACAUCUACGCUAUGUGGAUGAUAUUUGUGGACUAUUUAAGCUUGCAGGUAUACCCGAUGAUGUUGUUAAGAAUAAGGCUUUCCCUUUAUCUUUGGAGGGAGACACAUUGACAUGGUAUAGGCUAUGUGAUGAUAUGAGAUCAUGGAACUAUAAAAGAUUGAAAUUGGAAUUUCAUCAAAAGUAUUACCCUAUGCAUCUUGUUCAUCGUGAUCGCAAUUAUAUAUAUAAUUUUUGGCCUUGCAAAGGAGAAAGCAUCGCUCAAGCUUGGUGGAGGCUUAAAUCAAUGUUAUAUUCAUGCCCCAAUCAUGAGCUCGCUAGAGAAGUGAUUAUGCAAAGUUUUUACGCUCGGCUUUCUGGUAACAAUCGCACCAUGCUCGAUACUUCUUGUGCUGGCUCUUUUAUGAUGAAGCCUAUUGAAUUUAGAUGGAAUUUAUUGGAUAGAGUUAAACACAACUCUGAAGAUUGGGACCUCGACGAAGGUAAGGAGUCAGGUAUGACACCUAAGUUUGAUUGUGUUAAAUCUUUUAUGGAUAUCGAUAUUUUCCGUAAGUUUAGCACUAAAUAUGGACUUGACUCUGAGAUAGUAGCUUCUUUCUAUGAAUCUUUUGCUACUUAUGUUGAUAUCCCCAGGGAGAAGUGGUUUAAAUAUCAUCCUCCCAUAGAAGUAAAAUUAGCUGCACCUAUUAAAGUUGAAGAAAAGACUGUCACUUACAAUGAUCCUAUUGUUCCCACUUCUUAUGUUGAGAAACCACCUUUCCCUGUUAGAAUGAAGGAUCAUGCUAAAGCUUCAACUGUUGUUCGUAAAAGCAAUACUUGGACUUAUACACCACCUGAGCAAGUCAAAGUAGAACCUAAUAUUGCUAUUGUUAAAGAUCUCUUGUCUGAUAAUAUUGAUGGGCAUGUUAUUCAAUUCUCUGGUGAAACUGCUAGAAUUGCUAAACCCUGUGAUAGAGAUAAACAUAGACCUGUGGUAGGCGUGCCUGUUAUUUUUGUUAAAAUAGGAGAUCAUUGUUAUCAUGGCUUAUGUGAUAUGGGUGCUAGUGCUAGUGUUAUAUCCAUUGACUUAUACAAAGAAAUUAUGCAUGAGAUUGCACCUGCUGAGUUAGAAGAAAUUGAUGUCACAAUUAAACUUGCCAAUAGAGAUACUAUUUCACUAGUGGGAAUUGUUAGAGAUGUUGAAGUCUUGUGUGGGAAAACCAAAUAUCCCACUGAUUUUCUUGUUCUUGGCUCUCCACAAGAUAGCUUUUGUCCCAUUAUAUUUGGUAGACCCUUCUUGAAUACUGUUAAUGCUAUGAUAGACUGCAAAAAGAAUGUUGUUACUGUUGGCUUGGAUGAUAUGGCUGAUGAUUUUAAUUUCUCUAAAUUUAGUAAACAACAUCGUGAGGAAGAAUUGCCUAGUAAGGAUGAAAUUAUUGGUCUUGCUUCUAUUGCCAUACCUCCUAGUGAUCCUUUAGAACACUAUUUGCUAGACCUUGAAAAUGAUAUGUUCAUGAAUGAAAGAAGGGAAAUAGAUGAAGUAUUCUUUAAACAGGAACCUAUUCUGCAACACAAUUUGCCUGUUGAAAGCCUAGGGGAUCGUCCUCCACCCAAGGGUGAUCUCGUGUUUGAGCUUAAACCGUUGCCUGAUAAUCUUAAAUAUGCUUAUCUUGAUGAAAAGAAAAUAUAUCCUGUCAUUAUUAGCGCUAACCUUUCAGAGCAUGAAGACGAAAGAUUAUUGAAAACUCUGAAGAAGCACCGUGCCGCUAUUGGAUAUACUCUGGAUGAUCUUAAGGGCAUCAGUCCCACUCUAUGUCAACAUAAAAUAAAUUUGGAAGCUGAUGCCAAACCAUCUUGUGAUCCUCAACGACGUUUGAAUCCUAAAAUGAAAGAAGUGGUAAGAAAGGAAAUACUCAAGCUUCUGGAGGCAGGUAUAAUUUAUCCCAUUGCUGAUAGUCAGUGGGUAAGUCCUGUCCAUUGUGUCCCUAAGAAGGGAGGUAUUACUGUUGUCCCUAAUGAUAAAGAUGAAUUGAUUCCGCAAAGAAUUAUCACAGGGUAUAGGAUGGUAAUUGAUUUCCGCAAAUUAAAUAAGGCUACUAAGAAAGAUCAUUACCCCUUACCUUUUAUUGAUCAAAUGCUAGAAAGAUUAUGCAAACAUACACAUUAUUGCUUUCUAGAUGGUUAUUCUGGUUUUUCUCAAAUACCUGUGUUGGCUAAAGAUCAAUCAAAGACUACUUUUACAUGCCCUUUUGGUACUUUUGCUUAUAGACGUAUGCCUUUCGGUUUAUGUAAUGCACCUGCUACCUUUCAAAGAUGCAUGAUGGCUAUAUUCUCUGACUUUUGCAAGAAAAUUUGUGAGGUUUUCAUUGAUGACUUUUCUGUCUAUGGUUCCUCUUUUGAUGAUUGCUUGAGCAAUCUUGCUCGAGUUUUGCAGAGAUGCGAAGAAACUAAUCUUGUCUUGAAUUGGGAAAAGUGCCACUUUAUGGUGAAUGAAAGUAUUGUCUUGGGGCACAAAGUUUCUGAAAGAGGUAUUGAAGUUGAUAAAGCCAAGGUUGAUGCUAUUGAAAAGAUGCCAUGUCCCAAGGACAUCAAAGGUAUAAGAAGUUUCCUUGGUCAUGCCGGAUUUUACAGAAGGUUCAUUAAGGACUUCUCAAAAAUCUCUCGGCCUCUGACCAAUUUAUUACAAAAAGAUGUACCAUUUGUCUUUGAUGAUGAUUGUGUAGAAGCAUUUGAAAUACUUAAGAAAGCAUUAGUCUCUGCACCUAUUGUUGAGCCACCUGAUUGGAAUUUACCCUUUGAAAUUAUGUGUGAUGCUAGUGAUUAUGCUGUAGGUGCUGUUCUAGGGCAAAGAGUUGAUAAGAAAUUGAAUGUUAUCCAUUAUGCUAGUAAGACUCUAGACAAUGCUUAAAGGAAUUAUGCUACUACCGAAAAGGAACUUUUAGCAGUUGUAUUUGCUUGUGAUAAAUUCAGACCCUAUAUUGUUGAUUCUAAAGUAACUAUUCACACAGAUCACACUGUUAUUAAAUAUCUUAUGGAAAAGAAAGAUGCAAAACCUAGACUUAUUAGAUGGGUUCUCUUGCUGCAAGAAUUUUAUUUACAUAUAGUUGAUAGAAAAGGAGCUGAGAACCCCGUUGCAGACAACUUGUCUAUGUUAGAGAAUGUUCUUGAUGACCCACUACCUAUUGAUGAUUGCUUUCCUGAUGAACAAUUAAAUUUCAUAAGUACUUCUCGUAGCACUCCAUGGUAUGCUGAUUAUGCUAAUUAUAUUGUUGCUAAAUUUAUACCACCUAGCUUCACAUACCAACAAAAGAAAAAGUUUUUCUAUGAUUUGCGACAUUACUUUUGGGAUGACCCACAUCUUUACAAAGAAGUCGUAGAUGGUGUUAUUAGACGUUGUGUACCUGAGCAUGAACAGGAACAGAUCCUACGCAAGUGUCACUCCGAGGCUUAUGGAGGACACCACACUGGAGAUAGAACUGCACAUAAGGUAUUGCAAUCCGGUUUUUAUUGGCCUACUCUCUUCAAGGACGCCCGUAAGUUUGUUUUGUCUUGCGACGAAUGUCAAAGAAUUGGUAAUAUUAGUAGACGUCAAGAAAUGCCUAUGAAUUAUUCACUUGUUAUUGAACCAUUUGAUGCUUGGGGCUUUGAUUAUAUGGGACCUUUUCCCGCCUCUAAUGGUUAUACACAUAUUUUAGUUGCUGUUGAUUACGUUACUAAGUGGGUAGAAGCUAUUCCAACUAGUAGUGCUGAUCAUAACACUUCUAUAAAAAUGCUUAAGGAAGUUAUUUUUCCGAGGUUUGGAGUCCCUAGAUACUUAAUGACUAACGGUGGUUCACACUUUAUUCAUGGUGCUUUCUGUAAGACGCUUGCUAAAUACGACGUUAAUCAUAGAAUUGCAUCUCCAUAUCACCCGCAGUCUAGUGGUCAAGUAGAAUUGAGCAAUAGAGAGCUCAAAUUAAUUUUGCAGAAGACUGUCAAUAGGUCUAGAAAGAAUUGGUCCAAAAAACUUGAUGAUAGGCCUAUAGAACUGCAUACAAAAAUCCUAUGGGUAUGUCUCUGUAUAAAAUGGUUUAUGGAAAAGCAUGUCACUUACCUCUCGAACUAGAACAUAAGGCAUAUUGGGCUAUUAAAGAGCUCAACUAUGAUUUCAAACGUGCCAGUGAGAAGAGGUUAUUUGAUAUUAGCUCACUUGAUGAAUGGAGAACCCAAGCUUAUGAAAAUGCCAAGUUGUUUAAAGAAAAGGUUAAAAGAUGGCAUGACAAAAGGAUACAAAAACAUGAGUUUAAUGUAGGUGAUUAUGUAUUGCUAUACAACUCUCGUUUAAGAUUUUUUGCAGGAAAACUUCUCUCCAAAUGGGAAGGUCCUUAUGUUAUCGAGGAGGUCUAUCAUUCCGGUGCCAUAAAAAUCAACAACUUCGCAGGCACAAAUCCAAAGGUGGUAAACGGUCAAAGGAUCAAACACUAUAUCUCAGGUAAUCCUAUAAAUGUUGAAACUAAUAUUAUUGAAACCGUAACCCCGGAGGAAUACAUAAAGGACACUUUCCAGAAUGUUCCAGACUCCGAAAAGGAAUAGGUAUGUGCUACGGUAAGUAAACCGACUCCAAAACAAUUUUUAAGGCAAUAUUUCUCCGUUUUGGAAUAUUUAGAAAAAUAGAAAAAUAAGUAGCAGUCCGGGGAGGACAUGAGGCCUCCACGAGAGUGGAGGGCACGCCCUACCCCCCUGGGCGCGCCCCCUACCUCGUGAGCACCUCGUGUUCCCUCUGGACUCUGUUUCCUUGCACGAUACGUAUUUUGGUCCGUAAAAAUUCAUUAUAUAUACUCCCGAAGGUUUUGACUCUCAUAUCACGCAAAUCUCCCCUGUUCUUGUUUCGAGCUGUUUUUCUGACAGGUCUAGAUCAUGAUGACGACCCCAAGUGCUUCCAAGGACAAGUUCUUUGAGAAGGUGAUCAACCCUUACCUCGCGGAGGUGCUGCGACACCCUCAAACCAUUGAGAUGCGUGAUGGGUUGCUGCACAUCCACGAUGUUGAGGGACCAAAGGGAACCGGAAGCAUGGAGUUGAGGCUCGAAGCAAUGGAGCAACAAGUUUUCAAGUGCCAGGGGAUGGUGGAGCGUGGAAUCAACGCUACACACAAGAUGCUCGCGGAGUUCACCAACAACUAUGAGCCGGAUGCCAAGAAGACCGAGGAAGCCAUCUUCAAGCUACAUGAGAAGAUCGAGCACCUCCAAGCCCAAAUCUAUGAUCUGCAAAACCAAAACUGUGAGUAUGAAUAUAGAUUCAAAAGGAUGAGUUUGGCUGCAGAUUUGAGGAUUCCGGAGACUCGAUCAUCCUUCUAUGAUGGUGAGCCUAUGCCAUGGAAGGUGGACGACAAGCUUGCAUCAUCAUCAACACCUCCACCGCCAACAACAAGGAAGGAGACAUAAUCACAUGGGUAUGGGCACUCCCCUUGGCAACUGCCAAGCUUGGGGGAGGUGCCCUGGUAUCGUAUCACCAUCACAACUCCUACCUUUACCGUUUUUGUUAGUUCGAUCCUAUUAGUAGUAUCUUGAUUUAGUAGAAUAAAGUCAUGGCAUGAUCUAGUUUUGAGUUUUGCUUUAUGAUCCUUCUUUGCAAUCGAGUCCGUGAGCUAUAUAAUAAAAAUUAGUGUUGAGUCAAGGGCUUGAGUAUUUUGCCAUGAUCUUGGGUGAUUAGAAGAAAAAGAAUAAAAAGAAUCAAAGAGUUCAUAUUUAUCUUAUUGAAAGUAAUGACUCCACAUAGAAAGAAUAUGAUGAUUAAAAGUUGUUGGGAGUUGAUAAAUAUAGCUUUGGUCAUCGUUGCAAUUAAUAGGAAGUAAUAAGGAAAGAGAGGUUUCACAUAUAGAUAUAUUAUCGUUGACAUCUUUUAUGAUUGGGAGCACUCAUUAAAAUAUGACAUGCUAAAGAGUUGAUGUUGGACAAGGAAGACAACAUAGUGAGUUAUGUUUUCUUACAUCUGAGAUAAAGUAUGUUGUCAUGGAUCCUCUAUCGUGUUGAGCUUGCCUUUCCCCCUCAUGCUAGCCAAAUUCUUAGCACCAAGUAGAAAUACUACUUGUGCUUCCAAAUACCCUUAAACCAGUUUUGCCAUAAGAGUCCACCAUAUCUACCUAUGGAUUGAGUAAGAUCCUUCAAGUAAGUUGUCAUCGGUGCAAGCAAUAAAAAUUGCUCUCUAAAUAUGCAUGACUUAUUAGUGCGGAGAACAUAAACUUUGUACGAACUUGUUGUGGACGCAAUAAAAGCGACGGACUGCAUAAUAAAGGUUUACAUACAAGGGGCAAUAUAAAGUGACGUUCUUUUGCAUUAAAAUUUUGUGCAUCAACCCUAAACGUGCAUGACAACCUCUGCUUCCCUCUGCGAAGGGCCUAUCUUUUAUUAUUAUCCUCUACCUUAUGCAAGAGUCACGGUGAUCUUCACCUUUCCCUUUUUAUUUUAUCCUUUGGCAAGCUCAGCAUGUUGGAAAGAACAUGAUAUAUAUAUCUAACUGGAUGUGGGGGAGCAUGAAUUAUUAUUGUUGACAUUACCCUUGAGGUAAAAGGUUGUGGGGCAAAACUAUAAGCCCCUAUCUUUCUCUGUGUCCGAUUAAAACUCCGUAACUACAAGUAUUGCGUGAGUGUUAGCAAUUAUGAAGGACUAAGUGAUAGUUGAGUAUGUGGACUUGCUUUUAAGCUCUGACAUAGACUCUUUCCGACGUUAUGAUAAAUUGGAAUUGUUUCAAUGAAUGAGGGUAUAAUUUGUUGGUGCUCAAUAAGGUUUCUGAUUCAUACUUUGGCUUUGUGAAAAAAUCAUCAUUUGAACUUGAGUAAUCAUACGACGAAAUCUUUAUAUGUUGCUGUUAUGAAAUAAUCAUGAUGCCUUCAUGUCCGUAUUUUAUUUUUAUCGACGCCUCUACCUCUAAACAUGAGGACAUAUUUAUUGUUAUCGGCUUUUCGCUUGAGGACAAGCGAGGUCUAAGCUUGGGGGAGUUGAUACGUCCAUUUUGCAUCAUGCUUUUAUGUUAAUAUUUAUUGCAUUAUGGGCUGUUAUUUCACGUUAUGUCACAAUACUUAUGGCUAUUCUCUCUUAUUUUACAAGGUUUACAUGUAGAGGGAGAAUGCCGGUAGCUGGAAUUCUGGGCUGGAAAAGGAGCAAAUAUUGAAGGACUAUUCUGCGCAACUCCAAAAGUCCUGAAACUCCACGGAAUGUAUUAAAAUAAAUAAAGAAAAAUCUUCGCCAAAGAUGAAGGCCAGGGGGCCCACACCCUGCUCACAAGGGUGGGGGGCGCCCCCCCGGGUGUGCCCCCUACCUCGUGGCCCCCCUGGUGGCUCUACGACGUCCAUCUUCUCCUAUAUGAAGUCUUUCGAUGAGAAAAAAAAUAGAAGGCAACCUUUCGGGACGAGACUCCGCCGCCACGAGGCGGAACAUUGGCGGAACCAAUCUAGGGCUCCGGCAGAGCUGUUCUGCCGGGGACACUUCCCUCCAGGAGGGGGAAAUCAUCACCAUCGUCAUCACCAAUGCUCCUCUCAUCGGGAGAGGGCAAUUUCCAUCAACAUCUUCACCAGCACCAUCUCAUCUCCAAACCCUAGUUCAUCUCUUGUAUCCAAUUCUUGUCUCCAAGUCCAGGAUUGGUGCUAGUAGGUUGCUAGUAGUGUUGAUUACUCCUUGUAGUUGAUGCUAGUUGGUUUAUUUGGUGGAAGAUCAUAUGUUCAGAUCCUUUAUGCACAUUAUUACCCCUCUGAUUAUGAACAUGAAUAUGCUUUGUGAGUAGUUACAUUUGUUCCUGGGGACAAGGGAGAAGUCUUGCUAUUAGUAGUCAUGUGAAUUUGGUAUUCGUUCGAUAUUUUGAUAAGAUGUAUGUUGUCUAACCUCUAGUGGUGUUAUGUGAACGUCGACUACAUAACACUUCACCAUUAUUUGGGCCUAGAGGAAGGCAUUGGGAAGUAAUAAGUAGAUGAUGGGUUGCUAAAGUGACAGAAGCUUAAACCCUAGUUUAUGCGUUGCUUCGUAAGGGGCUGAUUUGGAUCCAUAUGUUUCAUGCUGUGGUUAGGUUUACCUUUAUACUUUUGUUGUAGUUGCGGAUGCUUGCAAUAGAGGUUAAUCAUAAGUGGGAUGCUUGUCCAAGUAAGGGCAGUACCCAAGCACCGAUCCACCCACAUAUCAAAUUAUCAAAGUACCGAACGCGAAUCAUAUGAGCGUGAUGAAAACUAGCUUGACGAUAUUCCCAUGUGUCCUCGGGAGCGCUUUUCCUAUUAUAAGAGUUUGUCCAGGCUUUUCCUUUGCUACAAAAAGGAUUGGGCCACCUUGCUGCACUUUAUUACUUUUGCUACUUGUUGCUCGUUACAAUUUAUCAUAUCACAAAACUAUCUGUUACCACUUAUUUCAGUACUUGUAGAGAAUACCUUGGUGAAAACCGCUUAUCAUUUCCUUCUGCUCCUCGUUGGGUUCGACACUCUUACUUAUCGAAAGGACAAUGAUAGAUCCCCUAUACUUGUGGGUCAUCAGGGAAGCAACAACGCGAGCUAUUAAUCUACAAUAUUAUUUGCAAAAUACUAUCAGGACUAAGUUCAUGAUAAAUUAAAGUUCAAUUAAUCAUAUUACUUAAGAACUCCCACUUAGAUAGAGAUCCCUCUAGUCAUCUAAAUGAUCAUGUGAUCUAAAUCAACUAAACCAUGUCCGAUCAUCACGUGAAAUGGAGUAGUUUUCAAUGGUGAACAUCACUAUGUUGAUCAUAUCUACUAUACGAAUCACGCUCAACCUUUCGGUCUCAGUGUUCUGAGCCCAUAUCUGCAUAUGCUAGGCUCGUCAAGUUUAACCCGAGUACUUCUGGUUGUGCAAAACUGGCUUGCACCCGUUGUAUGUGAACGUAGAGCAUAUCACACCCGAUCAUCACGUGGUGUCUCGGCAGGACGAACUUUGGCAAUGGUGCAUACCCAGGGAGAACACUUGUACCUUGAAAUUUAGUGAGAGAUCAUCUUAUAAUGCUACCAUCAAUCAAAGCAGAAUAAGAUGCAUAAAGGAUAAACAUCACAUGCAAUCAAUAUACGUGAUAUGAUAUGGCCAUCAUCAUCUUGUGCCUUUGAUCUUCAUCUCCAAAGCACCGUCAUGAUCACCAUCGUCACCGCCUCGACACCUUGAUCUCCAUUGAAGCAUCGUUGUCUUCUCGCCAACUAUUGCUACUAUGACUAUCGCUAUCGCUUAGUGAUAAAGUAAAGCAAUUGCAGGGCGAUUGCAUCGCAUACAAUAAAGCGACAACCAUAUGGCUCCUGCCAGUUGCCGAUAACUUCAUUACAAAACAUGAUCAUCUCAUACAAUAAAAUAUAGCAUCAUGUCUUGACCAUAUCACAUCACAAUAUGCCCUGCAAAAACAAGUUAGACAUCUUCUACUUUGUUGUUGCAAGUUUUACGUGGAUGCUACGGGCUGAGCAAGAACCGUCCUUACCUACGCAUCAAAACUACAACAAUAUUUUGUGAAGUUAGUGUUGUUUUAACCUUCAACAAGGACCGGGCGUAGCCACACUCGAGUCAACUGAAGUUGGAGAAACUGACACCCGCCAGCCACCUGCGUGCGAAGCACGUCGGUAGAACCAGUCUCGCGUAAGCAUACGCGUAAUGUCGGUCCGGGCCGCAUCAUCCAACAAUACCGCCGAAUCAAAUUAUGACAUGCUGGUAAGUUGUAUGACUAGUAUCGCCCACAACUCACUUGUGUUCUACUCGUGCAUAUAACAUCUACGCAUAAACCUGGCUCGGAUGCCACUGUUGGGGAACAUAGUAAUUUAAAAAAAUAAAAUCCUACGCACACGCAAGAUCAUGGUGAUGCAUAGCAACGAGAGGGGAGAGUGUCAUCCACGUACCAUCAUAGACCGUAAGCGGAAGCGUUAUGACAACGCGGUUGAUGUAGUCGAACGUCUUCACGAUCGACCGAUCAUAGUACCGAAUGAAUGGCACCUUUGUGAUCUGCACACGUUCAGCUCGGUGACGUCCCACUAACUCACGAUCCAAUAGAGCUUCAAGGGAGAGUUCUGUCAGCACGAUGGUGUGACGACGGUGUUGAUGAAGCUACCGAUGCAGGGCUUCACCUAAGCACCGCUACGACAUGACCGAGGUGGAUUAUGGUGGAGGGGGCACCGCACACGGCUAAAAGAUCAAUGAUCAACUUGUGUGUCUAUGGGGUGCCCCUCCCCGUAUAUAAAGGAGUGGAGGAGGGGGAGGGCUGGCCCUCUAAUAUGGCGUGCCCUGGGGAGUCCUACUCCCACCGGGAGUAGGAUUCCCCCCUUCCAAGUAGUAGUAGUAGGAGAGAAGGAAAGGGAAGAGAGAAGAGAAGGAAGGAGGGGGCGCCGCCUCUCCCCCUAGUCCAAUUCAGACUAGGCCUUGGGGGGCGCGCGGCCUGCCCUCUCUCUCCCUUAAAGCCCAAUAAGGCCCAUAUACUCCCCGGCAAAUUCUCAUAACUCUCCGGUACUCCGAUAAAUACCCGAACCACUCAGAACCUUUCUGAUGUCCGAAUAUAGCCUUCCAAUAUACCGAUCUUUACGUCUCGAACAUUUUGAGACUCCUUGUCAUGUCCAUGAUCUCAUCCGGGACUCCGAACUACCUUCGGUACAUCAAAUCACAUAACUCAUAAUACAAAUCGUCAUCGAACGUUAAGCGUGCGGACCCUACAGGUUCAAGAAUUAUGUAGACAUGACCGAGACAUGUCUCCGACCAAUAACCAAUAGCGGAACCUGGAUGCUCAUAUUAGCUCCUACAUAUUCUAUGAAGAUCUUUAUUGGUCAAACCGCAUAACAACAUACGUUGUUCCCUUUGUCAUCGAUAUGUUACUUGCCCGAGAUUCGAUCGUCGGUAUGACCAUACCUAGUUCAAUCUCGUUACCGGCAAGUCUCUUUAAUCGUUCCGUAAUUCAUCAUUCCGCAACUAACUCAUUAGUCACAUUGCUUGCAAGGCUUAUAGUGAUGUGCAUUACCGAGAGGGCCCAGAGAUACCUCUCCGACAAUCAGAGUGACAAAUCCUAUUCUUGAUCUAUCCCAACUCAAAAUGUACCAUCGGAGACACUUGUAGAGUACCUUUAUAAUCACCCAGUUACGUUGUGACAUUUGGUAGCACACAAAGUGUUCGUCCAGUAUUCGGGAGUUGCAUAAUCUCAUAGUCAUAGGAACAUGUAUAAGUCAUGAAGAAAGCAAUAUCAACAAACUAAACGAUCAUGUGCUAAGCUAACGGAAUGGGUCAAGUUAAUCACAUCAUUCUCUAAUGAUGUGAUCCCGUUAAUCAAAUGACAACUCAUGUCUAUGGCUAGGAAACACAACCAUCUUUGAUUCAACGAGCUAGUCAAGUAGAGGCGUACUAGUGACAUUAUGUUUGUCUAUGGGUUCACACAUGUACUAAGUUUCCGGUUAAUACAAUUCUAGCAUGAAUAAUAAACAUUUAUCAUGAUAUAAGGAAAUAUAGAUAACAACUUUGUUAUUGCCUCUAGGGCAUAUUUCCUUCACUUAGUGUGUGAAUCACCGUACAAAUACAUUCCUUCAUUCCCAAGCUUGUGUCCCCACUGCAUAGCACGAACACACUGCUACUGUAAUGUUUUCGAGCCUCCUACCAAUCUCUUCUUUGCUCUUGGACCGAUUUAUUUCUUCAUUUGGACUGAGGGUAGAAAGGUCCAUCUACUAGACAUGGUCGGCCCGGCCAGAACAUGCCGCUUGCACCCGUGCAAACAGUGAUCAUGCUUGUGUCACGCUAAUGGCAAGCUCUGGCUCGAUCUGGCCACUGUUCUCGUCCACUCCCUCGUCAUCUCGACAUCCAGCCUUGUCAAGGAGCUCCCUCAUGCUUGAAUGCAUCAUACCGUGCUCGGGCCCCUCCUGGUUCGCCAUGAAUGCGCUGCUAGUGCCAUGCCCGUGCCGCGUCCAGCCCCUGUACUCCAUUAGAGCACUUCUUGAGCUCGCCCGUGAUGCUCUAGGGAUCUCCCCCGCGCCUAUUUAAGCUGCCCCGAGGUCCUCCGCACCUCACUCACUCCUUCCUCGCCUCAUUUGCUCGCCGGAAGUUCCCAAUCCCGCCGUUUCUUCGCUGCUCCUCCUCGGCCAUCAACAGAGUUUGCUCCUCCCUGGCCACAUCGAGCCUCCUCUCGCCUCUCCUCCACCUCCAUUGAGUCCCCCUCCUCCCUGCAGACCGCCCCACCCCCUCCCCCCGCCGGAGACGACCCGCAUCACCAGCAACCUCCGUCGCCCCUGUCCUCCUCUCUGUCCUCCUCCGCCCCCACACCCUCCACUCCUCCCUGGCACCCCCUUCACCUCUGGACAGGUGCGGUAGGCCGCCCCGCACCCGCUGGUGUGCUCGCCGUGGCCGGAGGCCACCGGAGCCGGCCGGACCCUCGCCGCCUCCCUCCCCUGCUCCUCCUCUGUUUCACGGGAUAAUAAGCGAGGGAGGAAUAGGACGACCAUGCCUGCCCCCCUGCCAGUGGACCCCGCACAAGACAUAUUUCCCGCAAAGGCGCUUUCUAUUUUUCAGCCAGGGACCUGGUUGUGGGGAAACUUUUUACAAAUUGGUCCCUGGUGUUCAACCUCUCAUAUCUUUUCGACUGUAACUCUGAUUGAAUCCCCUUCAAGAGAGAAGAAUGUCCGGCGUUUCAUUCCGCAGCUUCAUCGCACUUCUCCCCGAAGUCUCCGUCACCCCCAGGCAAGCCACAACAGCCACUUGCAUGAUAGCCAUGAAGUAGCCUUGGUUUCCACUUGAAUAUAUAAUAAAAGUUUGCCCAUUAUCUGUUUGCUUGUUUGCUAAUACUGUUGUUGUUUCAAUUAUGCUCGUGGAUUCAGGUUCACCUUCAUGCUAUGUUCUGAUGCAUCUUGUUAUCUUUUACUACUUGCUAGUAUUAUUUUCUCAUGUUAUGCUUGUUAGUACUACAUGCUGGUAGUAGUGACGUUCAGUCUGAUGCAUGUUUACCAUCUGUUAUCCAGUACCGUUGCUAUGCAUGUUCCUUUGCACCUAGUUGGUUACAUUUUACUUGAUAGUGUUCUUGCUAUGUUCUUGCAUGGUAUUUAUUUACGAUGCUAGUAGUCAUGCUAUGCUCAUGGGUAAUGUUAUGCUUAUGAUCGUCAGUAUGCCAUGCUCAUUUGGUUUAAUGCUUCACUGUGGUUAUGCUCGAUUAAUAUGUUGCACCUCCAUGCUUAUGUUGAGAUCAUGCUCAUGGACUAUAGUUGCAUCAUAUUUUAUUAUGGCUCAGCUCAUUGCAUUCAAGUUUAACCGGAUAAUAACGAACUUGAACAACUGUUGGCUGAGUCAUGGUGCCACCAAAUUGAGCUGACCAGUGCAACCACAUUUGCCUUUUAUGGGAUGACCCUAACCCCAAAACGGCCAGGGAUCCAGAUGGAAGCAGAGCAAUGGCAAGCGUAAUCGCAACAAGAAGAAGAUGAUUAGAUCCUCGUUUCUCCUAGUUUAGUAUGCAUGUAAUUUCUUACUUUGGUGUGUGAAAAUGUUAUCUGUGUAGUCGCUUGUCUAAUUGUAUGCUUAAUUUGGUUAUGCAAUGCUGUCUUUUUAAGUAUAUAUGUUGAUGCUCUGUAGAUAGAGCAAAUCACAUCACACACGGACUAAACAAGGGAACCCGUCGGUGAUGAUUUCAUCAAUCACUGACAAUUGUAUACCACUAAUCGUUUGCUCACAACACAUAGGGCUAGCUAACAGGAAUCGUCUGUGUUGUUAUCGGUCUUCGCACACAUUUCUGAUUACGGACAUGUUUGCCGUGUAUCACACACAUCUUGUGAUAUUGAACCGUUUCUGUUCUCUUGUCUCAACGCAAAUAGUUCAUCCGAGUGAACCACAUGAUGUAUAUCGCACACACACCUUGAUCUGGCUGACUGUUUCUUUUGUGUUGCCUAAUCACAAAUAGUUCAUCCGAGUGAACCGUAUGCUGUGUAUCGCACACGCCUUCAUCUGGCUGCCUGUUUCUUUUGUUCCUCCGCAUCGCAAACGGUUAAUUGAACUGAACCGUAUGCCCUGCAUCGCACAUGCAUCUAAAAUCUGAACCGUGUUUGAUGCAGCCAUCAUCGCGAACAUUUUGCACAUUUUAGACGGUUCUCUGACACCAUUGUUUGUGAUUAUUGCAUCGCACACAGUUUCUCGAAGGGUCUCUGAUCGUAGUGUCGCGUUAGCAACAUCCUACAGUAGUGAAUGAGGCGAACUACCGCGGCGGCUGAGGCAGGCUUGGAGCGCAGCGGCUGAAGUGGCCAUCAGGGCGCUACCCGGAGGCGGGUCAGGGCCAGGUGAGGGCGGUGCCUUGCAACGGACCGCGUCAGCGCAGCGCGAAGCAAGGCGACUCGAUUGCUACAUCCGACACGGAAGGAAUGAGAAGCCGUCGACGGUGACUCAAUAAGUGCGAUGGCUCGGUGCCAGGGCUUCUCAGUGCCGGGGCGGCUCAUUGACUUAGCGAUCGCGGGAAUCAAAAGCGGCUCGGAGUUGGGUUGACAAGUCCAUAUCCAUCUGCUUCCCUUGGUCGUUGUUGGUUUUGAAGAUUCCUCUUUUUCUUUCUAGGAUGACACCAGAGCGGCAACAUCCGAAUCCAACUCCCGUCCCACGUCCUUGUUCUCGUUCUGGUUGGUUCGACUUUCCAUCUGACCAUGUAAGAGUUUCUGGUGGUAUUUUCUUUGCAUGAAUUUGCAUUGCUUGAUCUAAUAGCUUCUCCCAAAACAAAAAAAACAAGGAUAUGGCUUGUAGUGACUAGGCAGCCAUGGGUGAGAUAUUACAGCGGAAACCUUCUGUCCACCUCGGCUUCUAAUGGCAACAUAAUAAAAAUUGAUCUGGCUUCAUUAGAUCACCCUGCCGUGGUGGCGUGCACCAUGCAACCCUAAUUUCUUUGAUCUCAAUCUUGUAUAGGUCGGCUCCAAAGUUAAUCAUGUUCUAGAUCACAAAACAAUGAACUUGUCGGAUCUUCCUUAUCUGAUGAAAUUGCGAGCUUCUCGAACCCUAGGAGAGAUCCCUCCAAGAACUCAUCACCACCGUGCGCUGGCCCCACGGUGGGCGCCAACUGUCUUCGUUUUUUCGCGACAGAUGUCCUUAGUGUGAGGACUUAGUCGUGAGGCCAACGCAUCUAUGUGGUAGCUUGAGAGGGUUGACUGAGAUGAGAGACACGAGGUUUUACCCAGGUUCGGCCCCUCAUGGUGGAGGUAAAAGCCCACAUCCUGCUCCAUUGAUAUUGAUGAUGAUGAUGCUCACGAUUAUAAGGGUGCUCUUUUGCUACCUCUGUCUCGAGAGCUAUUGACUUGUUUGUCUCAACUUGUGAAACUUGUCCCUCUCGGGGUGCCCUGCUGCUCCUUAUAUAAGUAGGAGGGGCAGGCUACAGGACUUGUCCUAGUAGGAUUAGGAUUACUCUAUUACAAGUGGAGUCCUAGUCUUGCUUCUUCUUAAGGGAAUAUUCCUUAUGCCUUUCCUCUUAAGCCGCCUAUCAUAACACGAGCCGGCUGAUACGUCUCCAAUGUAUCUAUAAUUUUUUAUUGUUCCAUGCUAUUAUAUUAUCUAUUAUGGAUGUUAAUGGGCUUUAAUAUGCUCUUUUAUAUUAUUUUGGGACUAACCUAUUAACCGGAGGCCCAGUGCCACUUUCUGUUUUUUUGCCUAUUUUAGAGUUUUACCGAAAAGGAAUACCAAACGGAGUCCCAAUGGAAUGAAACCUUCGCGAUGAUCUUUCUUGGACCGAAAGCAAUCCAGAAGACUUGGAGUAGAAGUCUGGAACGCCACGAGGCGGCCACGAGGCAGGAGGGCGCACCCAAGGGGGGUAGGCACACCCCCACCCUCGUGGUCCCCUCGUAGCUCCACCGACGUACUUCUUUCGCCUAUAUAUAUAUACUCUUAUACCCUAGAAAUAUUAGGGGGAGCCACGAAACCACUUUUCCACCGCCGCAACCUUCUGUACCCGUGAGAUCCCAUCUUGGGGCCUUUUCGGGCGAUCUGCUGGAGGGGGAAUCGAUCACGGUGGGCUUCUACAUCAACACCAUAGCCUCUCCGAUGAAGCGUAAGUAGUCUACCAUAGACCUUCGGGUCCAUAGUUAUUAGCUAGAUGGCUUCUUCUCUCUCUUUGAUUCUCAAUACAAAGUUCUACUCGAUGUUCUUGGAGAUCUAUUUGAUGUAAUACUCUUUUCCGGUGUGUUUGUCGAGAUCCGAUGAAUUGUGGAUUUAUGAACAAGAUUAUCUAUGAUUAUUAUUUGGUUCUUCUUUGAAUUCUUAUAUGCAUGAUUUGAUAUCUUUGCAAGUCUCUUCGAAUUAUUGGUUUAGUUUGGCCUACUAGAUUGAUCUUUCUUGCAAUGGGAGAAGUGCUUAGCUUUGGGCUCAAUCUUGCGGUGCCCUUUCCCAGUGACAGUAGGGGAGGCAAGGCAUGUAUUGUAUUGUUGCCAUCAAGGAUAAAAAUAUGGGGUUUAUAUCAUAUUGCUUGAGUUUAUCCCUCUACAUCAUGUCAUCUUGCUUAAUGCAUUACUCCAUUCUUAUGAACUUAAUACUCUAGAUGCAUGCUGGAUAGCGGUCGAUGUGUGGAGUAAUAGUAGUAGAUGCAAAAUCAUUUCGGUCUACUUGACACAGACAUGAUGCCUAUAUUCAUGAUCACUGCCUUAGAUAUCUUCAUAAUUAUGGGCUUUUCUAUCAAUUGCUCGGCAGUAAUUUGUUCACCCACCGUAAUAGAUGCUAUCUUGAGAGAAGCCACUAGUGAAACCUAUGGCCCCCGGGUCUCUUUCCUAUUAUAUUACAUCUAUUUUAUUUACAUUGCAUCUCCUUUACUAUUUUUUAAUCUUUACUUUCCAAUCUAUACAACAAAAAUACCAAAAAUAUUUACUUUAUUAUCUCUAUCAUAUCUCACUUUUGUGAGUGAUCGUGAAGGGAUUGACAACCCCCUUAUCAUGUUGGUUGCAAGGUUCUUGAUUGUUUGUGCAGGUACUAGGUGACUUGUGCGUCAUCUCCUAUUGGAUUGAUACCUUGGAUCUCAAAACUGAGGGAAAUACUUAUGCUACUUUGCUUCAUCACCCUUUCCUCUUCAAGGGAAAACCAACACAUGCUCAAGAGGUAGCAAGAAGGAUUUCUGGCGCCGUUGCCGGGGAGAUCUAUGCCAAGUCAAGCCAUACCAAGUACCCAUCAUAAACUCUUCUCCCCCGCAUUACAUUAUUUGCCAUUCGCCUCUCGUUUUCCUCUCCCCCACUUCUAAAAUGAUUUUUUAAAACCAUUUGCCUUUUCUUCGCCCCUCUGGUGUUUGCCUCUUUUCGCUUGCUUCUUGUGUGCUGGUGUGUUGGAUUGAUUGUUUAUCACGAUGGCUCAAGAUAAUACUAAAUUGUGUGACUUUUCCAAUACCAACAACAAUGAUUUAUUAGCACUCCGUUUUCUCCUACUACCGAUGUUAAAUCUUGUGAAAUUAAUACCGCUUUGUUGAACCUUGUUAUGAAAGAUCAAUUUUCUGGCCUUCCUAGUGAAGAUCCCGCAACCCAUCUAAACAACUUCGUUGAUUUGUGUGAUAUGCAAAAGAAGAAAGAUGUGGAUAAUGGUAUUGUUAAAUUCAACCUAUUUCCGUUUUCUCUUAGAGAUCGUCCUAAAACUUGGUUCUCUUCUUUGCCUAAAAAUAGUAUUGAUUCAUGGAAUAAGUGCAAAGAUGCUUUUGUCUCUAAGUAUUUUCCUCCCACUAAGAUCAUCUCCCUUAGGAAUGAUAUUAUGAAUUUCAAGCACCUUGAUCAUGAGCAUGUUUCACAAGCUCGGGAGAGGAUGAAAUUAAUGAUACAUAAUUGUGGAUGAUCAUACAAAAAUUUUAUGCCAGAUUGAAUUUUGCUUCUAGAAAUCUUUUAGAUUCGGCCGUGGGAGGCACUUUUAUGGUAAUCAAUUUAGGAGAAGGUACUAAACUCCUAGACAAUAAUAAGGUUAAUUAUUCUCAAUGGCACACCAAAAGAUCUACUAGUAAAAAGGUUCAUGCAAUUGAAGAGACUAAUGUUUUGAGUGGAAAGAUGGAUGAACUUAUGAAAUUGUUUGCUAAUAAAAGUGUUUCUUCUGACCCUAAUGAUAUGCCUUUGUCCACUUGGAUUGAGAAUAAUAAUGAAUCUAUUGAUGUGAAUUUGGUUGGUAGGAACAAUUUUCGUAACAACGCAUAUAGAGGAAAUUUUAAUUCUAGGCCAUUUCCUAGUAAUUCCUCUAAUAAUUAUGGUAAUUCCUACAACAAAUCUUAUGGAAAUUUUAAUAAGAUGCCCUCUGAUUUUGAGAAUAGUGUUAAAGAAUUUAUGAGUCCACAAAAGAAUUUCAAUGCUUUGGUUUUAGAAAAAUUCCUUAUGAUUGAUGAGUUGGCUAGGAACGUGGAUAGAAUUUCUCUUGAUGUUGAUUCUUUGAAACUUAGAUCUAUUCCACCUAAGCAUGAUAUAAAUGAGCCUCUCAAAUCCAUGAGAAUUUCCAUUGAUGAGUGCAAAGAAAGAACCACUAGGAUGCAUGCUAAAAAGAUUGCUUUAUGAAAGCGUGUUCUUCUAGUUUUCAGGAUAAUAAUGAUGAAGAUCUAAAAGUGAUUGAUGUGACUCCUAUUAAAUCUUUCUUUUCCAAUAUGAAUCUUGAUAAAGAUGGGACUAGACACACUAGAAAAAAAAUACACUUCCGUGAUGAUACGUGUUUGUCACAGUAGGUCAUGUUUUCUGUCAUGCAUGUACAUCCAUGACGAUUUUAUGACAGGAUCAAGAUAGUCAUACUUGUGCUGUCGUAGAAGUGUUCCAUGACAUUACCAAUAUUAUCAUCAUGGAAGUGUCCACUUCCAUGAUGAUAAAUCGCGCGUCAUAGAAGUGUUUUCGUCAAGGGUGACCGACACUUGGCAUCCAUCAUAACGGAACACCGUUAAGGUAUUGGGUCCACUUUUGGAUCCGAUAACCCGUUAACAGCCCCAACCAAUGGGGAUUUUCCACGUGUAAAAUCAUCAUUGGCUGAAUGAAACAUGUGUCGGCUCACCGUUGGGACAGAUGUCAUCCACUCAUUGGACCGUAGGCGCCUAUGAUACAUCAACACGUGGCACGGCCCAAUAGAGGCCCAUUCCUAUGAAAAGGCCGACCCGUUUGACUUGGUCAAAAAGUGGCGGACCGGCCCACGGAAAGCCUGUUAAUGGCUUGUUCGCAUAUAGCCCACUUACAUCCCGCUAACCCAGGGCCUGUUAUGACCUAUCCGAAUUAGGCCUAGUAGCGUCAUCUGGGCCGUCCAAUAUGAUUCCAGACCAUUUUAACUUCCGGCCCAUGUAUGGCCCAUGACGUCUUUUGGCCCAUAUGAGGCCCUUUGUAACUCUUGGCCCAUUAAUGGUCCAUGGUGAAACUGGCCCGUAAUGAACAGUGUAUCACUUUAUACCCAUUAACGGCACGUGGUGAAACUGGCCCGUAAUGAACAGUGUAUCACUUUAUACCCGUCAACGGCCCAUUAUUUCGUUGGGCCAUUUCCAGCCCAUGUUAUCUUCCGGCCUUCUCAGGGCCCAUUUAUUCUUGGGCUCAUUUCCAGCAUUCGUUUACUUACGGCCCGUUAUUGUCAUUUUCUGCUUGUGGGCCAAAUUCAGCCCGUGGUUACAGUCGACCCGUUUGUGGCCCGUUAAUACGUUGGGCCGUUUUCAUAGCGUCAUCAAAUACGGUCGAUUAACGACGGCCCGUUAUGGUCGGCCCAUGAACGGACGAUUCUAGCUCUAGCCCGUUUAUGGCCAUAAUGCGGUAUGUUAUUGGCCCAUGUUUGGCCAACCGAUCAUACGGCCCGUAGAAGGCCUAUUGAUGAUACGGCCCGUAGAAGGCCCAUUGUUUCUACGCCCCGUAGAAGGUCCAUUGUUUCUACGGCCCUUAGAAGGCCAAUUUUUUCUGCGGCCCGUAGGAGGCCCAUGGUAACUACAGUAAAUAUGUAGCCCAUGGUUAUUAUGGCCUAGUUUUAAAAAAGAGGUUAUUGCGGCCACUAGCAAACCGCAGAAAAAGAACUGCACUGACUACAAGCAAACAAAUAAACAAGACAAUAAGGAAAUAAAUAAGCAAGUAACUUACGCUAGGCUAUCACGGCUAUUACACAUAUUACAUGUACUGGGCAUCAAAGUUCGCCACUAGUGCAAAUAUAGGGAACAAAGCACCAUCAUAUAUACUGGUUGUCAAAGUUGGCGACCAGUGCAAAUAAACGCCACAGCAAAACAAGUCUAGAACUGAAACCAAUUCAGAAGAGAUCAAGAAACAAUAUCCUGGGUACCCAUAAUGUUGGCAAGAUGCUUAGCAAGCUUAUUAACUUUCUCUUGUUUGGCACUUAAAUCCUCCAACACUUGCUGUUGCACCAGAUAGUAUGCAUAUGAAUUCUGCAGGGACUUCCUCAGUCCUUCGGCUUCUUGUCGCAUAACAUCUGAUCGAUGUCUUUCAACUUCAAGUUGAGAUUCAAGAACCUUAACUGAUUCAGGCAGCAAGUUCGAAGAGCUGGUGCCAGCAGUAGUAGUCAGUAACUCGAACACUACAUCAAGACAGGACUUUGGGGUCGUCUCAGUGUCUUCAAUAUAGUUUUAUUAGCUUUCUUGGAGACAAAUGGGGAUGUCUCACUAUCUUGAACCUUAUCUACAUUACUUCCUUUACCAUUGCAUAACGGGGUGCUCUUCUAUGAUAUUUUAUCCGCGUUCUAAAAGAGAAACAAACAAACACAUCAUAAGUUUACAAUGUAGUAUAUGAAACUCAUUAUGGUAAACCAGUUCAGUAGUAAGGUGGACAGGAUAACAACAUGAAACAAACAUAUAUCUAUGUAGUAUGGUCACUGUAUGGUCUAUAUCAUUCUAGUUUAUGUUGCCAAAUCAAGAUAGAUACAGUUCGAAUCAUAUCUAUUUAAGACAAAGUAGCAUAAACAGAAUAUAAGUGUGGGAAACUACAUAGCAAUAACAACACUUUUAAUGUGCAUGGCAUGAGAACAUAACUGUUUAUUCAAUUGAAACUGAAAUCAACAUAGAGCAAGUUACAACAGCAAACACGUUAAAGAAACAGGUUUAAAACAUACCUGUUGCGCCAUUGGUGUUUCAAUUGCAUCCUUCAAAUUUGAAAUUAGUUGGUAUGAGUAAAUACAAUGAUGCAAGAGCAAAGUAGUAUGAACCAUAGCUACGGAACCUGAACUAAGAGCAAUUCUUCUUCUGCUUUAAGCGUUGACUUGGGGUUCGGAGUGGUGGUCCUUGUGCUUUGGGCACUGCAGUUGCCUUACUAACUGCUCGUGUUUGGGGUGCUCUGUGGUGGAGACGAUGCUGUGUCAACUGGAACAGGGUUAGAAGGGAUGUAGCUGGUUCUCUGUCCAACUGGGUAGGGGUACAAUUUGCGUGAGUCUGGGUUAUGUGUGGUGGGGCUCGUUCUUGGGCAAGUACAACCAUGGUUCUAUCUGCAUCAACAGGUAGCACGAUCUUUUCUAAAGACUGUAUUUUUACUCCCACAUAUACUGCCAUCAGCCCCUCCAAUUGAAAUGGCUAAUAAACAAGAAAAGUAAUUGAAUGUAUAGACAUUGUAAGAUAGACAUGUGCAAUGGAUAGUAGGGAAGAAAAGAAGGCAUGAAAUAAUUCACAUUUAUGUUGUCUAACCAAACAGAAUAGCAGGACAAAAUUUCACAUAUAUGAGCUAAUUAAACAGGAUAGUAUCACACAAUUUAACAUGUAUGGUGGCUAACUAAAUAGGAUAGAAUGACAUUCCAACAACUUUAAUAGACACAUCGUAUAGUUAUAUCAUGUCAGAAUGACAUAAUUCAAAAUAUGAUGACUAUGUAAAGAGGAUGAGAUGAUAUAACUAUAUUAUGUCUUUAGAAAAUGGGUUGGCAUGCCAUAAUUCAGAUACAUGCUGUCUAUGUAAACAUCGUGGCAUGAUAUAAUUCAAAUAUAUGAUUUAUAUACUAAGGAAGUGAGCAGAGGGCAAUCACAUAUAUGUUGUGGAAACUAAGGAGAUGGCAUUCAAUAUUGUGUAUAUGUUGUAAAAACUAAGCAUUGCAAUACAACAUAUGCAUGAUAUGAGUAAUAUAACCCUGCCGAGUUUGAGCAUACACCUCAGGGGGAUAAUAGGACUGGUCAUCUGCCUCUGAAUCCUCCUCUGAAGAGCUAUUUGUAACUAGCAAGAUAUCUGCUUCAGCAGGUAGCAUUGUUUGCUCUGAAGACCUUGUUUUCACUCCAUAUUUUUCCAUCACCAAUUCAAAUGGCUGAUGCAUAGGAAGAGCAGUUGAAUAUACAAACAUUGUUGACAAAUGCAAUGAGAAAUACAAAAAAAGGACGACAUGAUAUAAUUCACAUAUAUGACGCUUGGCUAAACAGCAUGACAUUGCAUAAUUCACAUAUAUAAUGCCUUGCAAUAAGAUAGCAUUGCAUAAUUCACAUAUAGAAUGUCUUGCAACAAGAUGGCAUUACAUAAUUCACAUAUAUGGUAAUUAGACACUAAACAGGUGGCAUUCAGACAAAGCAUGUCUAAACUAAGCAAAUGACGUAGCAAUGCAAGAUACCAUACGCACGAUAUGAGCAACAUAACCCUGCCAAGUUAGAGCAUGCACCUCAGGGGGGGGGAUAGGACUGGUCAUCUAUCUCUGAAUCCUCCUCUGAGGAGCUAUUCGUAACCAGUAAGACAUGCGCUUCGUCAGAUAGCAUUGUCUGCUCUGAAGACCUUGUUUCCACUCCAGAUUUUUCCAUGACCGUGCCGAAUGGCUGAUGCACAGGAAGAGUAAUUGAAUGUACUAAAAUUGUUGACAAAUUUAACACGUAACAAAAAAAUGAUGGCAUGAUAUAAUUCACAUAUAAGAUGACUGGCUAACCAGGGUGGCAGUGCAAAAUUCACAUAUAUGAUGCCUGGCUAAACAAGAUGGCAUUGCAUGAUUCACAUAUACGAUAAAGAAACUAAACAGAUGGCAUUGACACAAAGCAUGUCUAAACUAAGCAGAUGACAUCUUUGAUGUAUACAGUAAGCAAUGCAAGGCACCAUAUGCAUGAUAUUACCAACAUCAGCAUGCCAAGUUAGAGCGAAGACCUCAGGGGGUAAAUAGAAGUUGUCAUCUCCUUCUGAAUCCCCCUCAGAACAGUUAUCUUCCUCUUGAUUACCCGAAAUGGGUGGAGGGGGGCUGCCUUUGAACCCACCAUGGAGCGACGUCUGCAUGAAAUUUUAUUGCCAUGCAAGGCUCGACUCUUUUGCUCUACAUGUUCAGUUCCAUUGUGUACAAUAACUGACAUGCAUAGGAAUAAAACAUAGUGAGAUUAUGUAAGGAGUGCAUGCAGAAAUCCAGAGUGAUGGUAGCAACAUGUGGAUAGACCCCAAUCCAAUGAUAGCAGGCAGAUUAUAGCUUUAGUUAAAAAAUACAAAUACUGGAUCCUUUAAUGUUUGUUUGCACCCAACAUGAUACUCAUAGUAGACACCCAAGAUUAAGCAGAUAGUAGACAAAUAGUACUGAUUGCUUCCCCAAUAUGUACCCCACAACCAUUUAAUAACUCAAGUUUCAGCAUUAUUUUGGACCUGACUCGGAGUCUAAUAGGCGAACACGACGAUAAAGUAGCAUGUCAUCAUAUUAAGUGAUGCAUAACAUAAGCAGACACGAAAGAGUGUGACCUUCUUGCGGACCCGUGUAGUCCUCAAGGCCAUCUUCUUAGUUGAUGAUGGUAAUGUAGUUGUCGUGGCUGCUGGUGGCGGGGAAGAAGAUCUAAGGCAGCGAAAGACAGUUUGGAGAGCGGAUCCCUGUUGUGGUGAACCCUUCUGUCGUUGGAGCAUCCGAGCUGGGGUGGAACACAGCGCCGCAGGAGCAGGACAAACCACACAAGGUUUUGUUUGACACAUAUCUGUAACAGAAGUAAUUGUGUAAGGGCCUGUUUGAAUUUGAGGAUUCUAACAACCCAGGGAUAGGAAAUAGGCAGGAAUAGGAUAGGAAUUCACGUGCAAAACAGAGAUUUUAAAAACAUAGGAUUUCUGCCAAUCUGGGUGUUUGAUUCACAAGAAUUGGAAACUCACAGGAUCCAAAGAGCACGGUGAGAUUAAGUCAAACCACAAGAAAAUGUAUGGUUAUAAUGCUAUUAUGCUACCAUCUCUUAGUCUUGUGCUUCAUGAAUAGGAAUUUGAAAAGGAGGACAAGUGGAAAUUAAAAUUCCUACGUUUUUUCUUUCAAGGAGACACUAAAGGAACAAAUCCUAUAGUUUUCCUUUGCUUCAUUCCUUUGCACCAAAUUCAUGAAUAGUAGUACCAUAGGAAACUUUCCAAUUCCUAUGUUUUUCAUUCACUUUUCCUUUCAAGCACUGGCGAUUCUAGUAGGCAGGCUUGAGCAAGGAAAAGCCUACACUAAAAAAUGUUUUUGUGCUACUUCUAUUACUUUGGACCCAGGCCACUGCCCUACUAGCUCAACUCCCAGGCCCAUCGACAAAUGCACAGCUCAAACGCACGGGUAUAAAUAAUGAUGGCGUGCAAGAGAGUCCAUCACAAAUAGAUAAGUUGCCUGGUACCUCACUGCUUGUCAUAUAGUAGGAUAAAAUAAUCGUAUUUCACAUUACUACGUGUGCUCAGUGGACAAUAUAUAUAACAUGUAGAGUAAAAAAGAUGCAACAAGUGUACAACCUCUAUGGCGAAGCCAUGUUGAUCUCAGCGUGAUUGGGUUGGCCGGUGAGGAUGCUCCGACUGACUUGACUGUCAGAGGUGGGGAAGAAGAUCUUAGGCGUCUCGAGAUGGAGGCCGAGGUACUACUCUGCUGUGAUGGAGGGUUUCAUCGUUGGAGCAGCUCCGGUGAGUUAUACGACGCCGAGGCUGAAGCAGGACAAGAGAGACAACAUUAACCUGAGUGGAAUUCUAAUAACAUCUUCAAUAGAUGACAUAGAAUACAUAACCACAAAGUGCUAGAUGUAAAAUACAUCAGCCGCUCAUCUCUGAACUUAACUGUCAAAACUGAAUUUAACUGUCAAAACUUAACUUAACUGUCAAAACUGAAUUUGCUGUCGAAACUAAAUUUUAUUGUCGAAACUGAAUGCACUAGAGGUGAGGCUACAUGUUAGUCGACUGAAUUUUUCAUCUCUGGUCAGUCGAUUUUGCAGCCGUUGGAUACGAAAUCAAGGGUCUGCAAUUCAUCUUCAACCUCCACCCCCCUGAGCCGCCAACCACCACUGGCCAAACAGCCGCCCCCCGCCACCCGUGGCCGGCGGUGCGCCGCCCCGCCCGCCCCGAAAACACUCCCCACCGCCGGUCCACCGCCGCCCCGGCCAUCCCUCUAGGCCCCCCGUGCCGAGCUUUUUCUCCGGUAAUCUCCAAGCCACCGCCCCACCACCGCCGGCGACCACGGCCCCCACCCUUAACCCUAAGAUAGAUAGUGGGGUACCUUUCCGGCGAGCCCCCUCCCUGCUGCGGCAGGUUCUUCCUUAACUCCGGCGAGCCCCCACCCCCUGAAAAUCAACUGACCCAAAAGUCGAUUCAGUCGACUAAAGUGCAGCUAAAUCAGAGCAGCAUCGAAAGCAAGAGAAAGAGCGAGAGCUCCAGCUUGAGCAAGACCAAGAGAAAGAGCAGACUAGGCAGGGGAUCGAGAGCAAGAGUAGAGUAGCAGCGCGAGCGAGAGCUAAAGUAGCAGCUUUUACUGAUGUGGACAUCGCCACCGAGGGAGCGACAUCGUGGAGGAAGUGGCCGGCGACGCCGCCAUGGAUGGAGUCGCGCCGUGUCGGCUUGGGACCGAGCGCCGGCAGCACCGAGAGAUUGAAUCAAGAAGAAAAUGCGGCGAUUAGUGUACAACCUCUUUGGUGGCGCCGAUUAGGCCGAAGCUUCAUUGUAGGAAACAAUGAUGAUGCUACUCUUCCGGUGGUGCAGGUGAAGACGUUGGUGUGGGAAUGGAGGUGGCACGAAAAAUGAGGGGAACGUCGGGGCAGCUCCUUGGAGGUGGAGGACGGGAUGGCUGAACCGGCGGGCGACGAGAUCGACGACGGAUCCUCAUCCAGUACGGUGGAUGAGGGACAUCGAGGUGUUGCUGUGGACGACGUCAUCGGGGAAGAGGCUCCGGCUGGGUGGCGAACAGAGGAGGGUGUUGGGCUUCGCGAGUUUUCACGGCCUCGGUGUACGAAUGGGUGGGUGGAUGGGAUGGGAGUGUGGAAGCAUGGCUUAGGGACGUGCUUGUCCGAAAUGUGGGGUAAGUUAUGAAAGAACCCCCACCGAUUAGAGGCGGUUCUUUCGGUUCAGGGUUAUCACGGGCAUUUUGCGUGUCGGGAUAUCACAGGAGGUGGGAGUUUUCGUGCGCGUUGUAAUUUUGGAAUAGCAAGGCGCGGGUUGAGAUGGAGGGAGUUGUCGGAGCACAACGAGACAAAGAUAUAUCUUAAAUAUUUUGGGGUAACAAGGCGCAGUUGAAGAGGCGGGAGUUUCGCAGCACGAUAGACAGAGACGCUAGCUCGAAAUUUCGGCAUAACAAGGCGCGACUCGAAAUUUCGGGAGAACAAGCUUAACGUGUACCCAAAAAAUACAAUUCGCACCUCAUCACCAGAGAGAGCCAUGUCCCGUUUUACUAUAUUACUAGAAAUGCAUUCAAAUACAACAAAAAACUAAAAAAAUCGGGACAACAAACAUAACAUGUACAGUACCAAAACAAUUUGCACUUCCCUCAACAAUAAAAAAAUAAUGUGUGUUGUCUAGCAUAUGGACUAAAUUUGAGUACAUUUUCCCUGUUUGAAUGGGAUUGUACUCGGGUUAGUUAUACAACCAUCUAAAUAUUAUCUUCACAACACAUGACAUGAAUAUAGGAGAAGUAAAUUCCUAUAUAAAUAUGAACUACAUGUACAUACGAUCUCAAAUUCAAAUAAAUGUAUCCAUUUUGUGUUGAAUUCAAAUCAUAGUACAUGUAUGCUCUCGCUAGAUGUUUGGAAUCUAAACCAUGUAUGAUAUACCACGUACAAUGUGUUUAACAUGCACAACACACACACAAACACCAUUUAGACUAGUAAGGUACAUGUGAAUUGCACGCAUGAGAUUUGGCAACCAAAUUAUGAAUAAAUACCACAUUAUAGCAUGUAAGCUUUGAGUCAUAUAUGCAUGAUGUAGAUGUUCGUUUAAUUCUUAUAGUUCAUUUCAUUCAAAAUCAUCUAGUUUUUAUAAGAAAGCUAAUCCAUUUGAAGAUUCAUGGAAUUGUGCGUUGUAAGGCAUAAAGUAAAAACAAAUAAUGGCAAAUCAUGUAGAAAAACAUUUGGGAAAUUCUGAUACAGAAGAUUCUAUAACAAAGAAGAAGUGCUUCUGUUUUGAGGUUUGUGCAUUAUGCUUAAGUUCAACCAUGGAGUCUUCUAGACUGUACAUGUGGCGAAAUCUAGUGGAAUCUAGAUGAUAUCCAACGGCCAGUAGUGCUCAAAUUUCCCAUCUCUGCACCAUCGGAUUGGCCUCAUCCAAUGACCAUCUUUCAAAGUUAAAGUUAUCCGCACACUAUAUAAAAAAUAUAAAAUAUAAUAUAUAUAUAGGGGUAUAUAUAUAGAUAUGUGAUGCGAAAGCCACCCAUCAUCUCCAAUUAGAAUAGUGUGUCCAUGCAUGGAUGCAAUGUGGCCAAACAAUGUCUACUAUCGGUAUCUCAAAUUCAAAUCAGUCCGACCUUGUUCAAUGUGUAUACAUUACAACAUGCUCAUUUCCAAACCACACCGCACAGAUCUCCGUUAUAUUCAUGCAUGCAUGGGUUUCAAACAUCAUGAUCUCUUAUUCAAAUAUUUGACUUCAACUUUACAUUGAUUAUGACCUCACCUAGUCUUUUACACCCACACAAUCGUCUUCUCUUUAUAAUUGUACCACUAAGUUUCUCCCGUGCAUGCAUACACACACACUACCAGUCGGCAUUAUCCAUCACACACAUGCAAUCUUUUCUUCAGGCCGGUCUCCCAUGCAGGCACACACACACACACCUCCCCUUGUCCAUCAUAUCGAGCAUUCUUUAUCUCUCACGUGCAUGUGCAACGACCGAUGUUCCUCUAUGUGUGUGUGUAUAUAGCUAGGUCUUUCACAGUUUUCCACACAAACCGAUCAAUCUCUAUAUCUAGUGAGGUCGCACCCUCUUUCCCACGUCCACACCGAUCAAUCUGUACCUCUCUAUAUAGGAUUACAUAUAUAGCUAAUACACCCACAUUAAUUAUAUAUCCAACGCCCCCCUCUCAUCAUCCAUGCCUUCCACUUCAUCUCUCAGACACGCGCACAAUGGCGAAGACAGGGGGCAGCAAGGGCACUGCCCCCCUAACAUCACUAUAUAUCAAGGCUAAUAUGAAUGUGAUCAUUAGACAAUUGCUGGUAAAAUGGUUUAAGUUGAUGAAUUGACCCCCCUCGUAAAGGAUUAGCAAUGCUUGGCCCCCUAGCUCAUUUAUUUUUCAUGGCUUCGCCACUGCGCGCAACAGCGCACGUUCUCACCCCCUGAGGGAGUCCUGGAUUAGGGGGUCCUCAGACAGCCGGACUAUAUACUUUGGCCGGACUGUUGGACUAUGAAGAUACAAGAUUGAAGACUUCGUCCCGUGUCUUGGUGGGACUCUCCAUUGCGUGGAAGGCAAGCUUGGCAAUCCGGAUAUGUAGAUCUGUAGGAUCGAAAGUAUGUCUAGAGGGGGGGUGAUUAGACUACUUGACAAUAUAAAAAUUAUGCCUUUUGAUAAAGACAAGUUUUUGGCAGAUUCACAAUUAUGAUCAAGUCAAGCAUCACCCUACACAUGCAAUUCUAGAGUAUAGGCAGCGGAAAGUAAAUUGCACAUGUAGUAAAGAGAGGUGGAGAAGAGCAAACGCAAUUUUGGAGACGCGGUGAUUUUUCUCGUGGUUCCGAUAGGUGGUGCUAUCGUACUUCCACGUUGAUGGAGACUUCAACCCACGGAGGGUAACGGCUGCGAGAGUCCACGGAGGGCUCCACCCACGAAGGGUCCAUGAAGAAGCAACCUUGUCUAUGCCAUCAUGGCCUACGCCCACGGAGGGCUAGCCUUACUCGGGGUAGAUCUUCACGAAGUAGGCGAUCUCCUUGCCCUUACAAACUUCUUGGUUCAACUCCACAUCUCGACGGAGGCUCCCAAGCGACACCUAACCAAUCUAGGAGGCACCACCCUCCAAAAGGUAAUAGAUGGUGUUGAUGAUGAUGAACUCCUUGCUCUUGUGCUUCAAAUGAUAAUCUCCCCAACACUCAACUCUCCUCACUGAUUUGGCUGUGGUGGAAGAAAGGAUUGAGUGGAAAGCAACUUGGGAAGGCUAGAGAUCAAGCUUCAUAUGGUGGGAGUGGAGAAACUUGAUCUCAACACAAGGGUAGGUAGUUCUCUUCUCAGAAAUGUAAGGUAGGAGUGGUAGUUCUUUCUGAUGGCUCUCUCCAUGAAUGAAGAGGGGGUGGAGGGGUAUUUAUAGCCUCCACACAAAAUCCAACCGUUACACACAUUUGACCAAUCUCGGUGGGACCGAAGUUGACAACUCGGUGAGACCGAAAGUUCAAAUCAUGUGAACGUUAGGAUUUUUGGUGGGACCGAAAAUACAAUCUCGGUUUGUCCGAUUCGUGCAAAGACAGGAGCUUGCCAAUCUCGGUGGGACCGACUUCAUCAUCUCGGUGACACCGAUUUGAUGACAGAAGGUUACAGAAGCUUGGCAACUCAAGUUUCGGUGAGACCGAGUUCAGAAUCGGAAAAUCCGAGUUUUCUAGGGUUUGGCUUUAUGGCUGAAGUGGUUCAUCUCGGUGUGACUGAGUUUGGAAUAUCGGUGGGACCGAGAUUACUUAUGAGUGUAUAUGGCAGUGAAAGUUGCUGAUAGUUUAGGAGAUGUAUCACUAAGCACUUUGAGCAACCAGAUCAUCAUCAUAACCUCAUCCCCUUUUAAUAGUAUUGGCUUUCCUAUGGACUCAAUGUGAUCUUGGAUCACUAAACCAAAAAUGGAGUCUUGAGCUUUUGCCAAUGCUUGCCUUAGCAUUUUGAGGGGUCCACUUCUUCAGUCCUUGCCAUACCCAUAUCACUGAACUUUCUGAAAUGAUUCUCAAGAAACUAUUAGUUCAAUGAUAUAUAUGUUGUUAUUAAUUACCAAAACCACCUGGGGAUUAGUUGCACUUUCAAUCUCCCCCUUUUUGGUAAUUGAUGACAACAUAUAGAUCAAAGCUUCGACAAAGGAUAUAAUCAAUGAAUAAUAUCGUCGCUUUGAGAAGUAUGUGAUAAGCAAGAGCUCCCCUAAAUUUGUGCAUUAUUUAAGAUUUGCGUUUGAAUGCAAAUGCACAAUCGAUUAGGAUCAUGGGUCACUCUUCCAUGUCACAUACAUCUUGGUGGAGCGCACAAAAUGAUAAGAAUGAACAGCAUGCACCCAAUCACCAAGACAUGAGUAAGUGGUCAUACAAGAUAGGAAUAGCAUAUGAUAAGCAUUAAGCACACAUUAAAGCAUAGUACGACCAAGCACUCAUUAAGGUAGGAUCAAACAUAGUAUCAAACACACUGAAUGUCUCGAAAACCAAAAGUAUCUCAAAGAAACCGCAAAUGAACGAAAGAGCAAAAGCGCACUCUCUCUCUCUCGAAGUCCUAUGAUCUAUACAAUUUCUCCCCCUUUGGCAACAAGUUACCAAAAAGUUCGAAACAGCAUAGAGCUAAGCGUCACUGGGGACUCUGCUGGCGGCUCCUGUCUGGGUUGAUGUUGGAGUGGAUAUGACAGCAUCGGCGAAGUCUUCAGCUGAUGUCUGUGCUGGAGGAGUGGUCACUGGAGCUGGAGUUGGAGCAACUGAUGGAACUGUGGGAGGUGCUGAAGCUGUAGUCCUGGUGUCUGUCACUGGAAUAGCAGCUGAUCGAGGUCCUGUGGGAACCGGAGCAGUCUGUUGAUAAGCAUCCUGGACUAAGUCAUCCUGCAUCUCACGCAUAAGCUCUUCCUUCUCCCUCUUUGCUUCCUCAAUGUCUGCCUCAAGCUUGUUGACAGUUACUUGCACUUCAGUCAGCUUCACGUCCAGAGCGUGGAUCUUGUCUUCAACAAUCCUCUCUAGGCUCUCCUGAGACUGUACAAUGCUGGCCAGGCAUUGUUCAAUCCUUUGGGUAGCUUCAAGGAGCUGCUCUCCGACACUCUUUGGUUUAGCUGCUGCUGCUGCUGCUUCCUUGUCAGCUUUGGCUUUCUUGGCAGCUUCAAUCUUGGCUUGACCUUCAACUGAUGUUGGAUCCUCCUCAUCCAUCACAACAACAUUAUCCUCAUGCUCAGGCUGCAGUGGUAGGUGUUCUCUAUCCAACAAGAAUGUGCCCGUGCCAAACUUGGCAUUGAUAAGCAUCUGAAUCUGCGGGGCAAAUCCACACGACCUUUUCUGGUCAGCUGCAGUCCUCUUAAUGGUCUCAACCAUCAAGUCCAUCACCUUGAAAGGUGCUUUCUCAUCAAGUAUAUGCAGCAUGUUGAUAGAGUAUCCUCUGAUCAUGCGAUGAUCUCCAGACUUGGGCAUCAAGGUAUGCCUCAGAAUAGUAUUAGUGGUAGGUAGACCUGCCUGGAGAUAGUACACUGAGCCGAGCUUCCAGAUUCCCAAAUCCUUAGCUGGAACCUCUUUGUACAUGUUCUUCAUGGAUUCAUGAUUCUUCUUUGGAAUCCCAUAAACAUCAAUAUCAUCCUCUCUUUGCACUGGAGCAUUCAGAAGUUCUGCCCAUUCUUCAACAGAAGAAGAAAAUCUUUGGCCUUCAGUCAUCCAUGUAAUCUCUCCAUCUGGAUAGAAAUGAGCUGUGGCAUAGAAUUGCAUAAUCAUCUCAUCGUUCCAAUUUGUCAACUUCUGACCUACAAAGUCUGCAACACCACAUGCAGUGAAACUUUCAUGCACAUGUGGAAAGAAGUCUCUGUGCUCUUCGCUGUCAAUGUAUUUCCAGUCAACAUAUCUUGUGUCUGCGACUAUGGGCUUCUUAUCCAUCAGCACAGUCUCAUAGAAGUCCUACUGCUCUCUGGUGUGAAAUCUGGGAUCAACAGCAGUUCUUCUCCUCACGGCAUAUGGGUCAGACUGUCUCCAUAGCCUGAGACCUCUAUCUUUCCUUGCCUUCAUAUCCUCAGCUUGAGGAUGAGCAUCAUUGUGAAGUGGCAGUUUCUGACGAAGUUUCAGCAAAACUGGUCCUUCAAUAUCUGACACAGCUGGUGGCACAUCAUCCUUGUUCUUUUCAGAUGCUGGAAUGUUCCUGACUGUCUUCUUUGGCUUAGCAGCAGGCUUUGCUGGAGCUGCCUUGACUGGAGCAGAUUGCUUGGGCUUUGAGGUGGCUCCAGCCCUGAUGGCAUCACCCAUGAGCUUAGGCUUCUGAGGAGGCUGGGGUGCUUCCUCAUCCUCAUCUUCCUCUGCUGCAUCAUCAUGCACUAACCUCUUUCUCUUGGAAGUUUUCUUCACUUUGCUUGCAGCUUCUUCCAAAUUCAGCUUCUUAGCAACAGUUGAUUCCUUCACUUUUCUGGUGCCCUUCUUAGUUUGCUGACCUUGUGGCUCUUUGGCAACAACUUUCCUCUUGGGAUUUGAUGUGACCUCUUCCUCAAUGACAAAAUCUGAGUCUUCAUCAUUUGAGUUCCUCUUCUUUCUGGCCCUGGUGGCUGCAGGAGGCAAACCACUUGGUGUACUCCUCUCACCAUCAUCUGAUGAGCUGCUGGGAUCAGGACUAGUGCCUGCCUCUGGAAUAUCUGCUAUAGGUGACCCUGAUCUGUUCUGACUGUCACUGGCAUCUGACAUGGCUGACAACCUGUGAAUAGAUAAGGUGUAGGCAGAGUAGAAGAGUUAUCACAAACUGCAGAAGUUUUUGCAAACAAAAUGAGUUCAAAUUUUAGUAUUGGGUUUUCACAGAAGACGUUUCGGUCAGACCGAGUUUAAAAUUCGGUGAAUCCGAAGUGUUUAAACAGAAGCUUUCACACCACUUUCGGUUGGACCGAAGUGGGUUUUGGUCCUGCCGAAAACACUAGGGUUUCACAGAAUCGUCAUUUCGGUCACACCGAUUUGCACAACUCGGUUGGACCGAAAGGUGCAGUGCAAUGGCCAUAGGCCAAAUCGGUCAUACCGAAAAUGUAAAAUUGGUCUCACCGAGAUGUGUUCGGCGGAAACCUAACCCUAAAACUUUUACUCGAAUCUAGUUCAAACGAACUAAUCUGGUGUACAGGAAGAUUUCAAUCGUGGCAAGAUACUAGGCAAACCAAACGUGCAUUGAAUCGGAGAUGGGAGCACGAGUGGGAUCAGAACUCACCCUAACUUGGUGGAGUUUCUCUACGGCGGCAACGGCGCGGAGAAGAUGUCCGUUAACGGCGACGGAGACCUGCGGCGAGGGCGCACAGGUGACGACGGAGACGAUCCGGAGACCAAGGCGACGGCAGCAAGGGGUGUGGGGGCGAAGCGUUUGAAGGAGAAAUCAACGCGCGCGGCCCUCGGAGUAUAUAUAUACCCCUUUGCUGUCGGUGGGACCGAGUUGUAAAACUCGGUGGCACCGAGAUGGAUAACUGCAGGGCAGUUAUGCACUUCGGUCACGCCGAAAAUCACAACUCGGUUUCACCGAGGUGAAAACCUAGAUCAAUCUAAAUGUUUUCGGUUUGACCGAAUUUGAGUGAGUUGGUCUGACCGAAAUCACUUAGAAGGUUUUGGAAGUUAGCCUUUGACGGAUCGGUGGCUCCGAGUGCUCCUCACUCGGAGGGUCCGAAAAUGACUUGUUCAAAGUUUGUGAUGUAAGCAUGAAUAGAAUUUGAGACAAGAAAGCAUAGAUAGCUAGGGGAGGUACUUAGGCAUUCUUGUUCAUCCAUUUGGUCGAAAGAAAAAUCAAAACAACCAAAACAACAAAUGGAUGUCCUUGAAUGGAUAAAAUCAUGCAUCCAACAUGCUCACACAAUAAGAUAGCAAAUGAAAUAUGUGUCAAACAUGCACAAUCAAAAACUCUAGCAACUAACACACAAUUUGUCGAUGACUAGGUCAUCUUUAUAUGAGUAUAUUGACUUAGGAGCCAAAUGAGAACAUUUGAUCAUAGGUCAUACUCAUCGUUUAAGCACAAGUGGGGUUACCACUUUUACAUAAAGCAUUAAUGUGUUCACAUCAUUUGAAGAUGCUUUAGCUCAAUUUUUUAGAGCAAAGCUCCCCUAGAUGUGAGAACCCCUUUUAAAGGGUCAAACUAACCUUGGGUUGUCGUAGAAGACUUCAUGUAGAUGUUGAAGAUGUGGAUGCUCAAUGUUGAUGAAGAUCAUCAAGAGUUGGGAGCAAUCCUUUGGAUUCGGGCACUUUCAAUACCUACAUGGGUUAGUCCCACAAGGAACAAACAAGGAUAUCCAUGGACAUAGAUUGAAGUUCACAAUAGAUGAUGUCCAUGAAAGCAAUGAUUACCUUGUCCCUUGACUUACCAACAAGAGGGUUUGUGACUCCAUGAACUAGUGCACAAUGUGGAAGUUGGUUGCACAAGUUCUUGCCAAAAUGAAUGUGAGUGAAGUAUGUUGGCGGAGUCACCCUCAAGAACUCUCUAGUUCUUCUUCUUCGGGACCCACAUCAUCUUGAUGGGAAUCCUUGGGGUUGUAGUUGAGCUUGACGAAGUAGAACUUGACGUUUCCUUGGGAACCCACUUGACCAUGGCUUGAGGUGCUUCAAUAAAUGCAUCAAUCUCCUCUUGAAGCUUGUCCUUGCCUUUUAGCUUGUGGUCUUGUGGUGGAAGGUCAUCUUGUGCUUGUUCCACAUUGGAAGAAGUAGGAUCAUACUUCUCCUUUUGAAGAACAAACUGUGGAGUAGGAUAUUGACCUUCUUCCCAUUCAACACCCUCGGCGUUGAACUUUCGCUCAAAACCAAUUCCUUGAUUCUUCCGGUGCCUUCCUU
rnacentral:lncRNA from 1 species